rnacentral:lncRNA from 1 species
GACGUGCUGCUUUCAUUAAUACACCAGCCACUAAAUCCCAACGAUGAGCAAGGCUACAAGAUUGAACGAACAGAUGUGAAAGCCAUCUUACUCGACAUGAUUACGGGUUCCUUUGACACUUCAGCUACCGCAAUUGUUUGGAACCUUGCCGAACUGUUGAGGCACCCGAGGGUGAUGAAAAAUCUCCAAGAAGAGCUCCAACGUGUGAUUGGAACAGACCGAAUGGUGGAAGAGAGCGAUCUGCGAAAGUUAAGUUACUUGAAUGCCGUGAUCAAGGAGAGCUUUAGACUACACCCAAUUGCACCAUUUUUAGUUCCUCGGGAAUCCAUGCAGGACGUUACGGUCGAUGGAUAUUACAUACCUAAGAAAUCGAAAAUUCUAAUAAACACUUGGGCUAUUGGAAGAGAUCCUAACGUUUGGUCGGAUAAUGCGGGAAAAUUUUACCCUGAAAGGUUUAUAAAUAGCAAUGUUGAUCUUCGGGGGCAUGACUUCCAGCUUCUACCAUUUGGGUCUGGCAGAAGAGGUUGCCCUGGUAUGCAAUUAGGGUUAACCACAGUUCGGCUGGCUCUGGCAAACAUUGUCCACUGCUUUAACUGGGACCUUCCAAGUGGCCUCCUACCUCAAGACUUGGACAUGACUGAGACGUUCGGCUCGGUGCCGACAAAAGCCCAACACUUGCUCGCCAUGCCGACCUACCGCCUGGAGACUAAAUAGACGUUUAUCCGUUUUCUAUCGAUAUACUAAAUGCCGUAAGAAAUUAUAUCAGGUCGGGUGGCUUGAAUAUUUGUACGUGUCUUAAAUGUCAUGCAUGGUGAGACUUCUAUUGUAACUAUACCUUAGUGUGCUAAGAAAACGGCUUUCUAUUAUAGAUUUGUAACCCUAUAUAAACACUUAUUUCCAUUCUAAAUAACUUUAAGCUUUUAUUUAUAAUAGAAAAAUGAGGAAUUCACGAAGAAAAAGUGAGGGAAAAUUCGUCGACAUUAUCCGACUAAACAAUUAUCAGAGACUUUCACAAUUAGAUUAGUUACACAUAUAUGUUACUGACAGUUCAGAAUCAAAAUGUAGUAUCCACGAAUUGUAAUUUGAAGAUGUUUUUAUACUGGCACCAUCAAAUCCAACCAAUUAAGAUAUCAACAUUAUAAUUGCGUACACUGCUACAACUCACCUGCAUCCUCUUCAAAAUUGAUUCUCUGCAUAUACUAAUUAAAUGAAGUAUCCAUUUUUUACCCCAACUAUUAGCUAAAGUGGGGGCAUUGCCCCAACUAUGAAGUAUCCAUUUCUUUAUUAACGAAAAAUACUUGCUAUACAGAAUAAAAUAAUAUAAAUAAUACAAUAAUUAAAUGAUACUAACUUGAUUGAAUCACAUAUAGAGGCUAGUGCUUAAGCUAUGUCUUAUGUCCCACUCUUGUGCUUGUGGUUCUACGAUGUCUGCUCGAUCAUGAUACAACUAUCUAAUUCUACAACAUGCAUUGGAUUAUAGAAUUCUGGCGAAUUGUUUUGUGUGUUUACUCUCUAGAAAUUUUGUACGGAAGAGGAGGGAGAAAAGAUGAAAAUACUAGAAACUAAGACUGUGAAUAUAUAGGUUGUUUCACACUCUUUCAAAUACUUGUUGAACGUAUUUGAAAAUGCACAACUCUUUCUAAGAGCUGUGUCUCUUAAUCAAAACAGUUUUUAAUUAAUAUGUUAAUUAAAAACUUAAUCUGAAAUUAAAAUUAAUGAACUUUGAUUAAUUUUAACUUCCAAGGCCCCAAGUGCCCCAAUUGAUUAAUUAAUAUUAAUUGUAUUAGGCUAUAUUAUACAAGCCUAAUCCACACAAUCAUAAGGUCCAAGCCUUCAAUCCAUUUCCAAAUGGUCAAAUCCUAAUUAAUAGAAUAAAGGACUAGACCUAUAUAAAGGCAUUGGGAACUAAAUGUUCCCCGAUGUGGGACACUAAAAGUCUCAAAACUCCAACAAUACCCCACAUUUUGAGAUGACUAUGUGGUCCUAAAGAAACUAAGAUACGAGAGUAAACAAUAGAUGUGACAUACAUCAGGAGAUGUGUCUUUGGACUUGAACCUACCUUAGUAUAUACUGAUCAUAUUUACUAGAUGACGCAGUGAAUAUAAAAUCUUGAAUGGUUCAUCUCCACAGUAAACCAAGACAAUAAGCAAAACAUAUGCCACACCAACACAUCACAAAUUCAUACGUUUGUGUUCUUUUUUGUCCUGAACAAAUCCUGGAUUCAUGAGAGCUUUAGAGAAUGUAGCCAUGUAAUUCUCAUAAAUGUGACCCCACAUUUACUCUCAUAUAGGUGAUAUUGAUUAGGAAUAGGCUGCUACUAUUCCACUUGAUUCACAAGUAUCAAUAUCAUUAAACUAAUGUAUCCUACACUUAUUAGCAGUCACCACACUUCUUCCAUUAUAGGAAUGGGUAUGUAAGUUUGUUUGUAACAUCCUACAUCGUCCAGGGGAAUGGAUUCUAUAAGCCUUAUAUGUAUAUUCCCAUCUUUAACUAGCACGAGGCCUUUUGGGAGCUCAUUGGCUUCGGGUUCCGUCGGAACUUCGAAGUUAAGCGAGAAGGUGACCAAAGCAUUUCCAUGAUGGGUGACCCAUUGGGAAGUUGCUCGUGAGUUCCCAUAAACAAAACCGUGAGGGCGUGGUCGGGGCCCAAAGUGGACAAUAUCGUGCUACGGUGGUGGAACGGGCCCGGGAUAUGGUGGACCCGGGCCAGGAUGUGACAAAUGGUAUCAGAGCCAAUCCCUGGCCAGAAGUGUGCCGACGAGGACGUCGGGCCCUUAAGGGGGGUGGAUUGUAACAUCUUACAUCGUCCAGGGAAAUGAAUUCUAUAAGUCUUAUAUGUAUAUUCCCAUCUCUAACUAGCACGCGACCUUUUGGGAGCUCAUUGGCUUCAGGUUCCGUCGGAACUCCAAAGUUAAGCGAGAAGGUGGCUAGGUCACUUCCAUGAUGGGUGACCCACUGGGAAGUUUCUCGUGAGUUCCUAUAAACAAAACCGUGAGGGCGUGGUCGGGGUCCAAAGCGGACAAUAUCGUGCUACGGUGGUGGAACGAGCCCUGGAUGUGGUGGACUCGGGCCGGGAUGUGACAGUGUUUCUUCUUUAAAUCUAGCCAAACCAGUUUGCCUAUUGAACCUAGACCAUGGGAUCUCCAAUAAACUAGGUUAGGUUUCCGUUUGGCAAUUUCAUUUUAUUCUAUUGGUUUUAAACACAUUCCCCUCGAUGUAUGCUUAACUUGCUCUCUAGACAAACCUUUAGUAAGCGGAUCCGUAAUAUUAUCUUUUGACUUAACAUAGUCAAUAGAAAUUACACCACUAGAAAGCCAUUGGUUUAUUGUUUUAUGCCUUCGUCUAAUUUGUCUAGACGUCCCAUUGUAUACAGUAUUUUUAGCUCGAUAUGUGCAGCUAAACUAUCAUAGUGUAUACAUAUUGCCGUUACAGGUUAGGCCAUAUGGGAACAUCUUCAAAAAAAUAUCUUAGUCACUCAGCUUAUUCUCCAGCCUUAUCGAGAGCUAUAAAUUUUGUUUCCAUCAUUGAUCGGGCUAUGCACAUUUGUUUGGAAGAUUUUCAAGAUAUUGCUGCUCUUCCCAAAGUAAAUACAUAUCACUUAUGGAUUUCAUAUCAAUAUUAUCGGAUAUCCAAUUCGUAUCAGUAAAUCCUUUAAGCACAGGAGGAUACUUUGUAUAAUGCAAUCAAUAAUUUAGUGUAUGCUUUAAGUAUCUCAAUACUCGAAUUAACGUUUCCCAAUGAUCAUGCCUACGAUUGCAUGUAUAUCUACUAAGUCUACUCAUUGAGUAUGCUAUAUCAGGCUUUGUACAGUUCAUAAUGUACAUAAGGCUUCCAAUAACUUGUGAAUAUUCACGUUGAGAUAUAGCAUCACUACUACUUUUCUUUAGUUUGCUAUUGGCAUCAAACAGAGUAAUUGCAUCUUUACUUUCCAAAUGACCAUACUUUCUAAGUGUAGCUUCUAUAUAAAGGGAUUGUGUAAGAGUAUAACCUUCUUGGUUUCUUUUGAUUUUUAUACCAAGAAUCACAUCAGUUAUCAUAUCGAAACUUGAUUUCAAUAUCUUAUAGGUACAAUUUAUUAUCUCUUUAUUAGUUCCCAUUAUAAGCAUAUCAUUUACAUAUAAACACAACAUAAUAUAAGCAUUAUUUUGAGUUUUUGUGUAGACACACUUAUCACACUCAUUUAUCGUAAACCCAUAUGUGAUCAUAAUAUGGUCAAAUUUCUCAUGCCAUUGCUUUGGAGCUUGUUUAAGCCCAUAUAGCAAUUUCACAAGUUUACAAACUUUGUGUUCUUGACCUUUAACCACAAAGCCCUAGGGUUGUUCCGUAUAUAUUUCCUCAUCUAAGUCUCCAUUUAAGAAUGUCGUCUUUACAUCCAUUUGAUGUAUUUCCAUGUUAUAGAGUGCAGCUAUAGCAAUCAAUAGUCUUAUUGAAGUAAUUCUCGUUACAUGUAAGCAUGUAUCAAAGAAAUCCAAACCAUGUUUUUGACGGUCCUUUAGCUACCAAGCGAGCCUUAUAUUUGUCAAUUGUACCAUCCAGUUUUAAUUUAUUCUUAAAGAUCUAUUUGGACCCAAUUGGCUUAUUGCCAGGGGGCAAAUUGACUAAUUCCCACUAUGAUUUUGCAUAAUGGAAUCUACUUCAUUGUUAAUUGCAUCCUUCCAAAAUGGAGCUUCAGGAGUGGACAUGGCCUCCUUGAAUGAUUGAGGUUCUGUCUCAGUUAAUAAUGUCACAAAAUCAGGCCCAAAGUCCUUUCAAAUUUUUGUCCUUUUACUCCUUCUAGGUUCAAGUUCUUCUUCUUGAACUCUAGAUGGGGAUGAACCAUCAUCAUGUUUUCUAGGUUCGUCAUUAACUUCAAAUACAUCAUCAUGUAAUCUCUUUUUUCAAGAGAUUAGACUCGCCCAUUUUGUAUGGAAAUAUGUCCUAAAAAAAUAUUGCAUUUAUAUAUUUUAUAAUAGUAUUGACAUGUAUAUCGCUUACUUCAGAAUGAAAAACUAAGAAUCUAUAAGCUGAACUAUUAGAUGCAAAACCAAUAAAAACAUAAUCUAUAGUUUUAGGCCCUAAUUUAGUUUUCUUUGGCAAUGAGACUUGUACUUUUACCAGGCAAACCCACACUUUAAGCAAUUUAAACGUUUGGGUUCUUCCUUUCCAUAAUUCAUAUGGUGACUCAUUUCUUAUUUUAGGUGGAAUUCGUUUCAAAAUUUUGUUUGCAGUAAGCAAGGCUUCACCCCACAAAUUGUGUGGAAGCCCGAGCUAUUCAACAUGGAAUUGAUCAUGUCUUUAAAAGUCCUAUUUUUCCAUUCGGUAACACCGUUUUGUUGCGGUGUAUAGGGGGCUGUUGUUUUAUGAAUUAUGCCAUGUGUGGCACAAAAUUCAACAAAGGCAUGAUACUCAUAUUCUCCUUCCCUAUCGGACCUUAAUACUUUAAUUUUCUUGUUAAGUUGAUUCUCAACUUCUACCUUAUAUGUCUUAAACAUAUCCAAUGUCUCAUCUUUGCUAUGAAGUAAAUAAACAUUGUUUGUACCAUACUUGACCAAUCCCGAAACUACUGAGCACCAGUCAACCUUAUACCGUCAAAUACCCAGAAGAGUUUCCCUCCAACCAGGAGGCCAAUCAUAGCGCGACACGUGUCGAUAUCAGAAGCCAAUCAUAGCACGACACAUGUCAACAUCAGAAGCCAAUCACAACACGACACGUGUCAAUGUUAGAAUGAAACUAGAAACUCUCUUCUAUAAAUAGAGAUCAUUCUCUCACAAUAUUUCCUAAUGUCAUUUGUACUAAAUCAUUCACUUGUACUCACUAAAGAAGUGCUUGAACCUAUGUACUUGUGUAAACCCUCACAAUUAAUGAGAACUCCUCUACUUCGUGGACGUAGCCAAUCUAGGUGAACCACAUACAUCUUGUGUUUGCUUCCCUGUCUCUAUCCAUUUACAUACUUAUCCACACUAAUGACCGGAGCAAUCUAGCGAAGGACACAAACUUAACAAUUUAUGUUGUACCAAAGUCCUCGCUGAUUUUGUGCAUCAACAUUUGGCGCCGUCUGUGGGAACGACACUUAUUCCCAAUCUCUUCAGCUUUGCCAAGCUGGUUUCCACCAUGUGUACACUCUUUUUUGACCAGGCACCCCUUUCCAACAUGGGAAGCGAAGUAAGCCACAACACACCAAAUGACACCCAUCUUGUACCUAGUGCGAAGCAACGAAAGAAGAAAGGAAAGAAGGUUGCUCUUCAAGCUAAAGUCGAUGAGCUAAAAGCUCAGAAAAACAAGAUAGCAAUGAAGAAUGAGGUCAUCUAGGAGCAGUAUGAGAAGCUCUUUGAGACACUCCACGAAACUAGGCAUACUCAAACACGCGAGCUCGUUACCCCUGUGGACAUCAACCAUCAUCUGGGUGCCCCCAACACGGAGGGUCACCUCCAUUCGACAUGGGUAUCCUUGAUGAGGAAUGAGCUAAUCAUCAAAACAUUGAUCAAUAUGAGACUUCUCUUAACCCAGAUACUUCGACCCGAAGUAGAAGAAGUGGACGAAGACCUCUCCUUGCAGAAGGGUUGGAAGGAUCGAAAGCCAUUUAUCAUAACUGCCGAGACUUCCUAAAGCAAUGUCCAGAGAAUCCCCUCCACAUAUGCUCGAAGAUCAAUGACCCAAGGGUUUCUGAAAAACUCGAUCCCCUCCCACGACCCAGGCCAACUGCCAAUCUAGGGAAGAAACGACAGGUCCCAGAGGAACAUGAAGGUACGGGGGACUCUGAGGUAUUCCGACAGAAUCGCCCUAGAAGUCAGUACGGCGAGUCCAAGAAAAAACCACACGCCCUUGCUUAAACUUUCCUACUUCUAAGAGGCGAUGGAGACUUACAAAAGAAAAUUCCAGUGGUACAUGACUCCACUCAGAACCCCCAUGUCCUACAGCUUCUUGAGCAAGUAAACAAGUUAAAGGCCGAACGUCAGGCCAAGAUACCUGACUGGAACCAACCUAGGCCUGGCCCUCUCACAAGAAGGAUUAUCGACACCCCCUUCAAACGAAGACAAAACAAAAGCUUAGUUUACAACUCUAUACUGGAAUGGAGGACCCAAUAGAACACCUUAACCUCUUUGAGUCCACCAUGGCAUAUCGGAUGCAUAUCGACAAAGAACGAUGUCUUCUCUUCCCCUCCACCCUCUCUGGCGUCGCUCUAAACUGGUAUUGCCGUCUUCCACCUGAGACAGUAAACUCAUUUGAGGAAUUGAGAAAACUGUUUGUCUCUCAACAUAUCUUCCAGACCGAUCGCUUGCAUUCUACAGAUGACUUGUACACUAUUCACCAGAAGUCGGACGAGUCACUACAAGAGUAUGCCGGUCGCUUCAGCCAUGAGUAUUCUCGUUGCACUGAGGCAGAUGACAAGACUGCCCUCAAAGCCUUCACGGCAGGCCUACAUGAUUGUUUCUUCAAGUACAUGAUCAAUGCCAACACUUGGUAGACUUACUCUGAGGUGAUGACACAUGCUUACAACCACGCAUUCGCAGAAGCAAGGACAUACCAAGGGAACCUCCAUAUGGUUAACCCUAAUCAACAAGUGGGAAGUGGAAGUCAAGUUCUACCAAGUGAAGAGAUCUUGGCAAUUCAAACACCUAUUGCAUCAUUUCCUGCCUUAUUUAGCUACUCGCUCAGUCACCAAACGUAUCUGUCUCUUGGUAAGAGGAAUGAUUUUUACUCUCAGCAAGCCCAUUACAACAAGAGGGAUAAAAGUUCGUAUCAAGACAAUCAGGAGUGAACAUACCAACGACUAUUAUGACUAUGGGGCCAAGCCUCAUUCUUUCAAAAUGAAGGACUAGGUACUGAAGGAAAUGCUAUUAUAUGAAGGCAUACGCAUUAUAAAUGUUUUAACUCUCAACCGCUUGAGAUCUUUUGUCACACAAGCCAUUCGGCAAAUAUUUAAAGAAGAGGGAAUUCAGAUAACUUCUUCUGAGUCUUUUGCGUUCCUAGCACUGGAACACUUAGUCUACGCUGACCUACCCUUAUACUCCAACUCAGAGAUUCAACAUGCGUACUUUGACACAAAGUAUGUGAUACUAAGUGUUACAACCAACAUGGUUCACAUAUAAAAAACAUGGAUCCCUUUUGCAUAGCAAAAAUUCAUAAGCAUCACUCAUAUCAAUUAACAUAAACAUCAUAAAUUCUAACACAUUCAUACAUAAACAUCAUACAUUUCAACACAUUCAUACAUAAACAUCAUACAUUCCAACACAUCCAUACAUAAGCCAAAUGUGCUUCGAAAGGGUUUAACAUACUUUGUGUCUUCGACGCUUGCUACAAUGUGCCUCGACACCUUGCCCUUAUUCUCACCAACCAGGUGAUGAAAUGUGAAGAAGGAACUCAUCUUCAUGCCACCAACCAUAUGAUGAAAUGUACAACUCGUACUCUAAUAUCAUUUGGCAACUUGCCACUCAUGCCACCAAUCAGGUGAAAAAAGAACUCAUCUUCAUGCCACCAACCAGGUGAUGAAAUGUACAACCCGUACUCUCCUUCAUGCCACCAACCAGGUGAUGAAAUGUACAACCCGUACUUUAAUAUCAUUUGGCAACUUGCCAUUCAUGCCACCAACAAGGUGAAGAAGGAACUCAUCUUCGUGCCACCAACCAGGUGAUGAAAUGUACAACCCGUACUCUCCUUCAUGCCACCAACCAGGUGAAGAAGGAACUCAUCUUCAUGCCACCAACCAGGUGAUGAAAUGUACAACCCGUACUUUCCUUCAUGCCACCAACCAGAUGAUGAAAUGUACAACCCGUACUCUAAUAUCAUUUGGCAACUUGCCAUUCAUGCCACCAACCAGAUGAAGAAGGAACUCAUCCUCGUGCCACCAACCAGGUGAUGAAAUGUGAUGAAAGAACUCACAUUCGUACUACCAACCAAGUGAUGAAAGCAACUCACCAUUCAUUCCACCUACCAGAAGACGAGUGGUACAACUUGUACAUGUGAACUCCUAGCAUUCACAAAUAAUCAAAAACCCUCAAGCUUGACAACUCAACUAGGGGAGCACUUAUGCCCAACAAGAGUUAUAGUCACCAACAAAGUCUUAUUGUAAGCCAACAACUUCAGUGCAUGGCAUACGGAGAUCAAACUAUUCAGCCCUCUUGCAUCUGCUUCAAACAUUUCCCCUCUGUAACAAUGCAAACAAUACAACUCAUAGAAAGCUUCACACUCUUGAUCAAGACAGUGUGAAGCAAAACCAAUUUAUUGUGCCAACAAGAGCUUCAUCAAUGGAGGGCAACCAUAAUUCUCAAAAGCUUCACAUACUCUUGAUCAAGACAGUGUGAAGCAAAACCAAUUUAUGGUGCCAACAAGAGCUUCAUCAAAGGAGUUCAACCAUAAUUCUCAAAAGCUUCACACACUCUUGAUCAAGAUAGUGUGAAGCAAAACCAAUUUAUGGUACCAACAAGAGCUUCAUCAAUGGAAGGCAACCAUAAUUCUCAAAAGCUUCACACACUCUUGAUCAAUACAGUGUGAAGCAAAACCAAUUUAUGGUGCCAACAAGAGCUUCAUCAAAGAAGUUCAACCACAAUUCUCAAAAGCUUCACACAUUCUUGAUCAAGACAGUAUGAAGCAAAACCAAUUUAUGGUGCCAAUAAGAGCUUCAUCAAUGGAGGGCAACCAUAAUUCUCAAAAGCUUCACACACUUUUGAUCAAGACAGUGUGAAGCAAAACCAAUUUAUGGUGCCAACAAAAGCUUCAUCAAAGGAGUUCAACCAUAAUUCUCAAAAGCUUCACACACUCUUGAUCAAGAUAGUGUGAAGCAAAACCAAUUUACGAUGCCAAUAAAAGCUUCAUCAAUGGAGGGCAACUGCAUUUCUUAAACCUUCGAAGCAAAUUCAAGACUGUUCAAAGCAAAUUCAAUUUAUAUGGUUCAUCCAAACCUUUGACUACUACAAGGUUUGGCUUGCAUCACAAUUUCUUGCUUAAUAGUGUGGAAGCAAAAUUUGUAUAUGUUGUCUAUCCCACAUUUUCAAAUUUCUAGUAUCCCCAAAAAAAAAAAAAAAGAUAUUCAAAACGCUUCAUCAAUGGAGGACAACUACAAAUUCUCAAAAGCUUCACACUAUCUUGAUCAAGAUAGAGUGAAGCAAAAUCAAUUCAUGGUACCCAACAAAAGCUUCACCCAUAAAAGCUUCAUCAACAAAAGCUUGAACUCCAAAGCUUCACCAACAAAAGCUUCAUCAAUGGAGGACAACUACAAAGCUUUCACACUAUCUUGAUCAAGAUAAUGUGAAGCAAAAUCAAUUCAUGGUACCCAACAAAAGCUUCAACUCCAAAGUUUCACCUACAAAGCUUCAACUCCAAAGCUUCACCUACAAAAGCUUCACCCACCACGAAAGCUUCACCCAAAAGUUUCACAACAAAAGCUUUCACCCACAAAAGCUUCCCCCACAAAAACUUCACCCAUAAAAGCUUCACUAACAAAGCUUCACCCACCACAAAAGCUUCACCUACAAAGUUUCAACACAAAAUUUCACUACAAAAGUUCAACAAAAGUUUCACCUACAAGAAGCUUGAAGCAAGAUAUCAAUUCAAUCAUGGUACCCAACAAAGUUUCAACCUCAAAGCUUCACCUACAAAGCUUCAACACCAAAGCUUCACCUACAAAACUUUAAUAUAUAUAUAUAUAUAUUUUUUUUUUUCGAAAAUUCGAAAAUUCGAAAAUUCGAAAAGAAAAAAAAAAUUGCCUAGGCCUACUCUUCUUUGGGCCCAACAAUCAUAACAAAUAUGUAUGAAGAAAGAGUUUAUGACUACCACUUAGAAAGGAAAUGCCUCAUUCGUUAACUCCCUCGACCGGAGACUUGGGGGACUUCUACCAUGUGCUACUGUAUCUUGAUACUCGGAAGUCUCACGACCACUCAGUGACUUAGAUUUUUCAAGUCUCCAAACAAGAAGUUUUCCUCACUCGGGAAAUUAAGGGAGCACUACCUCAACCUACAUGCUUUACUUACAAAGUUUCAACAUACAAGCUUCAACAAAAAGAAAAAUUCAGAGAACUUAGUGAAGAAGGCCUUGGUGUAUUUAAUAGAAUACGUUGAAAUGAAGCAAAGCUUGUUUAUUGAUAUCUCCAAUAAAUUACAAUUAUGUACAUAUACAUGAAUCAAAAUAAACAAACAAGAGGGAGCCUUCACAAAAGUUGCUCAGGAGAAGUCUCAGCAGUCGGCAGAGCCCCAGAAAGAGGAGGCACCAGAGGGUGAUUAUUCGGAGCCUCAGUACUAGGCAGAACCCCAGAAUGAGGAGGCACCAAAGGUUGAUCAUUUGGAGCUUCAUUACGCGGUACAGCCCCAGAAGACAAAGGCAAUAAAUGUCUUUGGAACAAACCCACAAACCUCUGAUGAUCAAGUAAAAUCUGACCAUCAGAUUCCUGCAGCUGGUCGAGCUUCCUCUUCAUGUUUGUAGCAUAGUCAUGUGCGAGCCUGUGCAACUAUUUAUUCUCAUGCUUAAGCCCUCUGAUCUCCUGUUUGAGACUUAUCACUUUAGCCAUCAAUGAUUCAACUUGGCGGGUUCGAGCAAAUAGGCGUUGGGCCAUUAUACCCGGAACCUGCACACUGAACACUGAGAGCCAAAGAAUCCUUAACAGCCAACUCAUCAGACCGUUUGGAAAGUAGUCUGUUAUCUUUGGGAGUGAGAAUGUUCCUGGCCAUCACCGCAGCGGUCAUAUCAUUCUUAAUUACAGAGUCCCCAACGGUAAGAGGACCAGUAGGGGAUAAGAAGGAUGGACGCCAUAUGUUGUCUUGAGAAGGCAUGGCUGCCUUGAGAAGGCAUGGCUGCCUCUUCACUAAAGUUCAAGUCAAAACGACGGUCGGAUGGGCCAGACAUUCUCAGAAAUGAUGAAGGAGAAAUGAGGUGCAAUAAAUCUCUGAAGUAAGGGGAAAAUUCCUACAAGCAAUAACUCUUUGAAUGUACUUCUUGUACACAAUUGGUGCCCUUAUAAAAGAAAGGGCAACAGGGCCGUUGGUUCAAAAAUUCAAGAGACACCACUCUCCGAAUUCCGAAAAGGCACCACUUUCCACACGCAACAUCAGCUCCUCGGGUACCACAGAUAACUUUGCCAAAGAUAUCUGACAAAGUUUAGACACAUAAAUUUUGAAGGUCCAACUACGCUACUAUUACCCACAAGGGUAAAGGAACAACACCACUGCUUGAUAACUAGAAAGUCUCAAUGUGUGUCAACCUCCGUGAUCCGUGGCAAGGCAAAUUGGCAAAAAUACCCAACCUUUACUCAUAUUCAAGAAAACACUCCCAACAAGAUUGUUUGCUAAAAAAUCGAAGAGGCACAGCUCUCCGAAUCUCGAGAGCCAGUCUCCCAACAGGAUUACUUUCUCAAAAAUUGAAGAGACACUGCUCUCCGAAUCUCAAGAGUCAGACUCCCAACAUGAUUGCUUUCUUAAAAAUCGAAGAGGCACCGCUCUCCGAAUCUCGAGAGCCAGACUCCCAACAUGAUUACGUGCUCAAAAAUCGAAGAGGCACCGCCCUCCGAAUCUCGAGAGCCAAACUCCCAAUAGGAUUACUUUCUCAAAAAUCAAAGAGACAAUGCUCUCCGAAUCUCAAGAGUCAGACUCCCAACAAGAUUGCUUUCUAAAAAAUCGAAGAGGCACCGUUCUCUGAAUCACUAGAGCCAGAUCCCCAAUAGGAUUGCUUGUUCGAAAAUCGAAGAGGCACCGCUAUCUGAACUUCGAGAGCCAGAUUUCUUUGGAUAAAACUUGUCUGCAAUCUUCACACGCAACAUCAGCUUUCCAGAUAGCACAAACCACUUUUUCAAAGUGCUUUAACAAAGUUAAAACACGUAAAGCUUACAACUCUCACAGCCAGGCAGACUCUUAUAUAUGUCGACCUCCAUCCUCCACAGCCAGGCAGACCUGCAAAUAAAAAAAAAUGCUCAACUUUUCUUCACGUCCGAGAGGGCAUUCUCAGCAAAGUCUCUCGAAAUACUCAGCUUCUUUUCCUCCCGAUAAUACCUCUGCAAACAAGCCACACUAGAGCAAGAAUAUCUCAUAUCAUCAGGGUUAAAAGCAAAGGUAUCCCAUAUCAUGUUUUUUCCCUAUCUUUUCUUUCGCCUUGUUCUUACCUACAAGACAAGGAGAAAGAGAGCAAUCAGUCAGCACUUGGAAUCAAGCUUCCUGUCAAGAACUGACUGCCUGGAACCUCUUGCCUGAUUACUUACAUGGCAUUGCUCUCGAGUACUCAUCUUCAACAUCUUAUGCUUUCAGAGAAGAAACCACAUUUUCCUGAGGAACAGAUAGGGCAAGUGAGAAGGAUACAAGAAAGCAUAUGGAGACAAGUGUAACAGAACACGUGCUGAUACAUCCACUACUUUGUCAACAGCAAAAGUAUCCUAUAUCAUCAGGGUCGAACGUACUCUAGAUUUGAUGGACUUGUUUUGACCAUCAAAUUCUUGAGUUGGCCUUAUACCUUGGAGGAAACUAGAAAACCCUCCAGCCCAGUUCAAGAAUAAGCCUGUGGAAAGUUACUUCUUCAAAAGCAAAAGUAUCUCAUAUCAUCUCUUCUCCAUUUGCUUCUCCUUAUCCUUGUUGUUGUUUACGACAUAAGGAGAAUGAGAACAAUUAACUGGAAGCCGAAGUCGAACCUCCAAUUCAGGUUGCUUGCUUGGAAGUCUAAUUGCUUACCUUGUCUGUUACCUCCUUUGACAAAUCUCCUAGCUCGGCGACUUGGGAGACUCCUACUAUAGGGUUUGUAUCGCACUUGACCAAGCCAUAAAUUACAAGUAAGCUUCAAGUGAAAUUGAUACAUUACCUUGUGUAUCUUCAUCGGUUAAAGAUAUCACCCCUGGAUGGAGGAAAAGUACUUCCAGAGAAGAUACCACAUCUACAUAUGAGACAGAUAAGGCAAGUGAAAAUGAUACCACACUUCAGUACUUAGAAGUUUCGUGAUUACUCAAUGGCUUGGAUCUUGCAAGUCCCCAAUCGAGGAGCUUCCCUCACUCGGGAACUUAGGGGAGCACUGUUUGUACCAUACUUGACCAAUCCCGAAACUACUGAGCACCGGUCAACGUUAUACCGUCAAGGACCCAGAAGAGUUUCCCUCGAACCAGGAGGCUAAUCACAGUGCGACACAUGUCGAUAUCAGAAGCCAAUCAUAGCGCGACAUGUGUCAACAUCAGAAGCCAAUCACAACACGACACGUGUCAAUAUCAUAAUGAAACUAGAAACUCUCUUCUAUAAAUAGAGAUCAUUCUCUCACAAUAUUUCCUAAUGUCAUUUGUACUAAAUCAUUCACUUGUACUCAUUAAAGAAGUGCUUGAACCUAUGUACUUGUGUAAACCCUUCACAAUUAAUGAGAACUCAUCUACUCCGUGGAUGUAGCCAAUCUGGGUGAACCACGUAAAUCUUGUAUUUGCUUCCCUGUCUCUAUCCAUUUACAUACUUAUCCACACUAAUGACUGGAGUAAUCUAGCGAAUGUCACAAACUUAACAAUUUCUGUUGUACCAAAGUCCUCGCUGAUUUUGUGCAUCAACAAACAUAAAAAUACUUACUGAAAUCAUCUAUAAAUGUUACAUAAUAGUUCUUUCCACCACGAGUUGGAUAUGAUCUAAAAUCAUACAAGUCACUAUGAAUUAAAUCUAAUAAAUCAUUGGAUUUUUCAUGCACUAAUUUAAAGUUUUGACUUGCAAAUUUCAAUUUUGUACAAGUCUCACAUUUAACAUUAUCUAAAUAAUCAAGCUUGGGCAGCAAACCUAAAUUGUGCAUUCUAAAAAAGAAUGAAAAUUUACAUGUCCUAGCCUAGAGUGCCAUAAAUUAGAUGAACCAAUUUUUCAUUCAUAGCAUUAGCAAGUACAUUCAGUUUGAAUAAUCCACCAGCAAGGUAACCCUUUCUUACAAACAUUCCCCCUUUAGUGAAUACAAACUUAUUGGACUAAAAAACUAGUUUGAAUCCCUUAUUACUAAGGAUAGGACCAUAAACAAGAUUCUUCCUUAUAUCGGGGACAUGCAACACAUCAAGGAAGGUUAAUUCCUUUCUAGAAGUGAAUUUCAGAAGACAUUUCCCUAUUUCAGCCACAACAGAUGCAUACACAUUUCCCAUAAACAGAUGCUCAUUUCCCUCGACUUUCUAGUACGAAGAGAACAUAUUUCUGUCACCACAUACAUGGCUAGUCACACCGGUAUAUAUCUACUAAUCAGCGUGGUCAGAUACAAGGUUGAUCUUAGAAAUCAUUGCAUCCAGAACAUCCAAUCAUUUUCAAUCAGGUUUGUGCGGUUGCUGUUGCCUUGAUUUCGAGGACCUUGAUCCCUUCGAUGGCGACAUUUUUGAGCCCUAUGCCCUUGCUUUCCACAAACCUAGCAACUUCCCUUGAUUUUCUUGAAGUCUUUCCCUUUCACACCAGGGACAAAGUUCUUUUCCUUCUUCUUAGUUUUCUGGAAUUUCGGCCUUUGCUUCGAUGAACUUCCUUCAACAACAUUCGCCUUGGCUUCCAUACUCGAAACCAUGCCUUUCUCAUUCUUUUUGUUAUCUUCCUCAAUUCUCAGCCUUACAAUGAGAUCCUCGAGGGUCAUUUCCUUACGUUUGUGCUUGAGAUAAUUCUUGAACUCCUUCCAAGAAGGUGGCAAUUUCUCUAUAAAGACGCCACCUGAAAAGACUCAUUUAUCACCAUCCCUUCAACAUGAAUGUUAUGGAUGAUUUUCUGGAGAUCUUCAGUUUGAGAGACAACGGACUUGGAAUCCACCAUUUUGUAGUCCAAAAAUUUGCCCAUGACAAAUUUUUUUGAACCAGCAUCCUCUUUUUUAUAUUUUUUCUUAAGUGAUUCCCAAAGUUCAUUGGCUGUUUUGCACACCACAUAGACAUCAUAGAACGAAUCAUCUAAUGCAUUGAGAAUAUAAUUUCUGCAUAGGAAAUCAUUAUAAUUCUAGAGAUUUAUAGCCGUCAAAGUUUAUGCAGGAAUAUUAUCUCCUUUUGCACUAGGCACAGUCUUGCGCAUAACAUUAGCCAAAUUCAGAGUUGUCAAAUAAAACAGCAUUUUCUGCUACCACCUUUUGAAGUCUCUGCCCUUAACUUCCUCAGGCUUUUCAAAAUGAGGUUUAGUUCCUGAUUGUUUCAUACUGUUCGAAGAUUGUUGGAGAACAAUUCAGAAAUAAAUAAAAAUAACAGAACUUGAAAACUAAAUUCUUUAUUAACGAAAAAUACUUGCUAUGCAGAAUGAAAUAACAAAAAUAAUACAAGAAUUAAAUGAUACUAACUUGAUUGAAUCACAAAUAGAGGCUAGCGCUUAAGCUAUAUCUUUCGAACAAUAUUUCUGUCCCACUCUUGUGCUUGUGUUUCUACGACGUUUGCUCGAUCAGGAUACAAUUAUCUACUCUUGUGCUUGUGUUUUUACGACGUUUUACGACGUUUGCUCGAUCAAGAUACAAUUAUCUAAUUCUAUAACCCGCACUGGAUUAUAGAAUUUUGGCGAAUUAUUUUGUGUGUUUACUCUCUGGAAAUUUUGUACGGAAGAGAAGGAGGAAGAAAAGAUGAAAAUACUGGAAACUAAGAUUGUGAAUAUAUAGGUUGUUUCACACCCUUUCAAACUAAGAUUGUGAAUAUAUAGGUUGUAAAUAUAUAGGUUGUUUCACACCCUUUCAAACUAAGAUUGUGAAUAUAUAGGUUGUUUCACACCCUUUCAAAUACAUGUUGAACGUAUUAGGCCCCAAGUGCCCCAAUUGAUUAAUUAAUAUUAAUUGUAUUAGGCUAUAUUAUACAAGCCUAAUCCACAUAACCAUAAAGCCCAAGCCUUCAAUUCAUUUCCAAAUGGUCCAAAUCCUAAUUAACAGAAAAAAGGACUAGACCUAUAUAAAGACCAUUGGGAAGUAAAUGUUCCCCGAUGUGGGACACUAAAAAUCUCAAAACUCCAACAAGUGGGGCAUUCAGUGCCCAUUACCCCCAACGACUUUUUUUCAAAGUAAUUCCCUUUGUUAAUUUCUUAUAACAAGUUCAAUAAAAGAGAUACUUUGUAGAUGACUUUCAGUAUUUUUUUUGGCCGGCCUACUACACUUCAGGCUUAUCUUAAGUAAUUCUCUUCUUUGUAGCACAAUUCUUUACUCUUAUAUUUUCUUCUGUCUCGAUCGUCUACCUAUCUUCUUCUCAAACUUAAGAUAAAUCUCAAUUAAACACAAUACCCAAGCUAAAUUCUUAUGAUUUGUCUUAGCCUGAACUCUCUUCUUAAACCUUGGAAGAACUAAGAAAAAACAUACAAGUUGUUAUUAAAAAAAAAAAAAAAAAAAUCAUUUAUUGAUGGAAAAAAUUUGUCGGGCCAAAUACCAUUUUGUCGCCUAUAAUUUUGCCCGACAAUUCUUUUGGGCAAACUUCAUAGCGAAAAUUGUAGCUCAAGUAUUUGCCCAAAAAAAAUAUAAGCUUUUCGUUUGGGCAAGGAUUAUUGACCGAACUAACUUGACGAAUGCAGCUUGCUUUGACGAUACCUUUUCCUCGAGUAUCUAGAAAUAAAAUAAUUAUACAAAAUUUCGCGUGACAAACAUAUUCAUCGAGCAAAGACUUUAAAUAUUUUUUAAAAUUUUGUAAUUAAAACAAUAUUUCAUUUAACUAAUUACAAUAUUUUCAUUUAACUAAUUUAUUUAAUUCUAAUUAUAUUAAGUUUGCUUUAAGCCAUACAAGGACUUAUGUAAUCGACAAACAUGUGUGGGGUUAUUAGGAUCACUAAAGCAAGGUGGCUGUGACAUAUAAACUUCCUCUUGAAGAAUGCCAUGAAGAAAGGCAUUCUUCACAUCAAGUUGAUGCAGAGACCAACCAAAAUUUGUUGCCAAAGCUAGGACCAACCUCACUAUAGUAGGUUUGACAACAGGGCUAAAGGUUUCCCCAUAGUCAAUGCCUUCUUAUUGAUUGAACCCUUUGGCAACAAGUCUUGCCUUAUACUUGGAAAUAGACCCAUCAGCAUGUUUCUUGAGUUUAAACACCCACUUGCAACCUACCAAGUUCUUGUUUGUAGGCAAGGGAACCAAAGACCAAGUGUUUUGAACUUUAAGAGCAUGCAACUCUUCUUCCAUAGCAAACAACCACAAAGAAGACUUGAGAGCUGACUUAUAUGUAGCCGAUUCAGUCUGAGACAAAUCUACUGGUAAAGUAUCUUGAACAAUUGAAAGAUAAACUUUCUUCUUUGAAAUACCACUCUUAGCUCUUGUUUGCAUAGAGUGAGUAUUCAUACGAGGAAUGGGAAGAAUAACCUGCAGAUUAUCAGGUUGAAACUCAUGCUGAAUCUCAAUACUAGUCUCACAAUUAUUCUCAAAAGUAGACUCAUUAUUUGGCUCUGAAUAUGUCCCAGAUGGUAUCUUAGGAGCCACAGGGGAUUGUUGAUCUGUUGAUGCAGUAAUGGAUUGUAAGGAAGCACUGUGGGAACCACUGUGAUGAUCAGCGCUGGAUGACACAGUAUUAGACAGAGUAAUGGUCCUAGGUAAUGGGAUUGUAACCAAAUGAUUCUUCCUAUUAAUGGAUAUAGAAGGAGAUGAGGAGAUGAAGACAGGUUUAGAAGUAGGAUUGGUGGAGACAUGAUGUUUUAAAGAUAAAAUGGAAUAUGGAAAUUCAGACUCAUCAAACACUACAUGCCUGGAAAUGUAAUAUUUUUCAUGAAGAAUGUCAUAACAAAUGAACCCCUUGUAUUUUGAAGCAUAGCCUAAGAAAAGACAUUUUGUAGUUUUGGGUUGUAACUUGGUGCUGUUGUAGGGUUUUAACAAUGGAAAAACUGAACACCCAAAAAUCCUGAGAUGAUUAAUAUUUGGAACAGCUUUAAAUAAUAGUUCAAAUGGAGAUUUUUGGUGAAGGGUAGAUGAUGGCAUUCUAUUAAUAAGGUACACAGCAAUUUGGCAUGCAAAUGACCAAAAAAUUGGAGGUAAGACAACUGUUUCUAACAAGGUGAUAGUUGUUUCAAUAAUAUGCCUAUGUUUUCUCUCUGCUAAACCGUUUUGCUCAGGAGUAUAAGGGUAUGACAAUUGAUGUUUUACUCCUUUAUCUAACAAAUUUUUUUUGAAAAGGUUUACUAAGAUACUCACCCCCACCAUCACUCUGUAAGGUUUUCAUUAAAGUGGCAAAAUGAUUUGAAAUAUAGUUGUAAAAGCCAACAAAUGUGGAGAAGACAUCACUUUUAUUAAUAAUAUGAAACAGCCAACAAUGUCUUGUGCAUUCAUCAAUGAAUGUCACAUAAUACCUAAAACCAUCUAUAAAAGUACAAGGAGAGGGACCCCAUACAUCACCCCCAUACACCACUAUGAACUACUUGAAAUGGAUGAAUUGACUUAGACACAGAAGAAACAAAUGGCAAUUUACAAAACUUGCCUUCCAGACAUGUAUGACACAUCACAGACACUGAAUAAGGUAAUAUAGACUGAUGACAUUUCUUUAACAUGACAGAGACCAUGGAAUUGGAGGGAUGACCUAAUCGAUUAUGCCAAAGGCUAAAAGAUACUUGGUGUCCAAGAUAUGCAACCUGAUACUGUGUAGGUAUAGCUUUACGCCUAGCCGGAAGUGGGAUGUGGUACAAUCUAUUACUACAAUGUCCUUGAAAGAGGAUCCUCCAUGUGGCCUUGUCCUGGAUCCAAAAGCAAAAAGCAUCAUAUAUCAACUAGCAAUUAUUAUCCAGACAUAGUUGAUGCACAGAUAAUAGAUUAUAAGACAAUCUAGGAACAUAUAAAACGGAAUUAAGCUGCAAGGAUUUUAAUGGAGUAUGUAGUGUAGAGGAACCAAUAUGAGAUAUUGAUAAACCUGCACCACUCGUAGUCUGAAUUAUUUCAUUAGUGGGAUAUGGGGAAGUAAGUGACAUAUUACUCAUAUCAGCAGUCAUGUGUGAAGAAGCUCCUGAAUCAGUGAGCCAAAACUGUUGAGAAGGAGCACUUGGUUCACUGAACAGAGUAUUUGUGACAUGCAUAGUUGUAGGAGAUGAAGAUGACAUAUUUGAGUUCCUAAAAUGGCAAUAUUUAGCACUAUGAUUCUUUUUCCCUAAAUUUGACACCCCUAAAAAACUGCACUAUCAGAAUUUCGAAACCUGCAGAUAGGAGCCAAGUGUCUAAAUUUCCCACAUAUCUGACAAGAUGUACCAGAAAGACUCUGUUGCCUUGGUAAAGAUGUACCAAGAAUUACAGGUGCUUGAUUCACAGUAUAAUUCCUAUAGUUAGGCUUAGAGUUCCCAAACCGAUUAUGAGAAUUGUACUGAAAUUUGCCCUUGUUUUUGUUCUUGUUGUAGGUUGGCUUGAAACCAGAAGAGCCUCCAUAUAAAGUACCAUUUGGAGAAGUGUCAGUCUUGGAAGAUUCACCAUAAGACUUCGAGUCAUUAUUAUUAUUUCUGGCAACCAUUGCAAACAAUAAGGGAGUAAUAGGAACAUUUUCAACCAUUGCUUCCUCAGCAAGUAAUUGAGAUCGAAGAUCUUUCAUGGAAAUCGACCCCUAAUGAUUGACCGUAGGGUAUUAUACUCAGAGGAUAUACCAUUCAAGGUUAAAAUGACAAUAUCAUCAUCAUUAAAGUGAACCAUAGCAGCAGCAAGAUGAUCAUGAGCUUCUUUAAUCCUUUGCAAAUACAUAGAGAUCGAAUCGGUACCUUUCUUGAUGUUUUGCAAUUCCGACUUCAUUUGAAAAAUCGUGGCCUGAGUAACAAUCGAAAACUGUUCCUUGAGGCGAACCCACAAAUCACAAGCACUAGUACUACCAAUUGCACAGGAAACAGCCAAAGGAGAGAGGGUAGUGGUAAGUAAUUGCAUCAAUGCCCAAUCAUGCAUUUUCCAAACCUUGAAUUCAUCACUUCAAAUUGUUGGAGACACAUCGCUUGAAGAAAUAGAGGAAUCCGCAGAAUUGGAUACCACAAAGUGAGUCGGACACGAAUGCGACCCAUUCACAAAACCUAUAAGACCAUAGCCUUCAAGAAGCAACUCGAUCUGAAAAUUCCAAGUGAGAUAAUUGGAAUAGUCAAGCUUAACAGUCACAGAAGAUGAAACUAUUGAUAUAAGAGACGUUAUAGGAGAUUGAAGAAUUUGCAACUCAGCAGAAGUCACCAUUGUAGCAAAUCAAGAGAAAAACCCAGAUGAAAAUUUCUCUGAGAACUUAGAACAAACACUUGGUGUGCAAAGAAGAGAAGACACCCAGUCGAGGAAUUCCAAGAAGAAGAGGAACAACCAUCAAUGGAAGCAGUUGAGCAGAAGCAGAAGAACCAAGAUCAGAAACUGUCAAGCACGAAGCUUUUCAGGUGAAUGAUACUAUGUAAACAGAAAGAAGCACAAUAUUCUUGCACAGAAAGAAAGAAUAGUUGUAGAGAGACAAAGUAUUUCUUUUAUAUUGAAUGAAUUAAGAGUUCUUUCCUUUACAGUUAUAUGUUGUAUAUAUCUAAUUACAUUGCUUAGCUACUGAGCUAUAAUAAGACUCACAAGAUCUUGACACUUGUCAUAAUCUCUACUCAAACAAACUUAACCACCUCACACAUAUAAUAUCUAUCAACUUCAACCUCUUUCCCUUCUUCUAAGUUCCAGGCCCAAUUUUAUUUCGUUUUUAGAAAGAAAAAAAAUUCGUUUUUUCUUUAAAAAGUGACAUUAAUACAACUUAGUACUACCGUCUAAUGGUAUUCUUCUUCACUUAUAAGUAAAAUCUUAGGUUCGAUUAUUGUUAAAGACGAACUUAAACUACAUUAUUAUGGCUAGCUCAAUGUGAGGCUUAGCCUACUCCCCCACCCCUUAAUGCAUAUACUAUCGUUUGUUAAAAAAAAAACAUAAAUAUGUUUAUAACAAUAGACAAAUUUAAUUACCAACGUAUAACAUAUGGGCAUAUAACUAGUAUCAUUUGGCGUUUAGAAGAGAUUCCAAUUUAUCGAGUUUAACAAAUUAAACAACUCAAUUUAUUUCUUAUAAAAUAAAUUAGGGCUUAUGGCGAUUUGAAUUGGUUGGUAGAAAUGUUGACCUUAAUAAGGGGCAUGACUUCCAGCUUUUACGAUUUAGGUCUGGAAAAAGAAGGCGCAUGCCAAUGCCAUGCAACUAGGUUAGCCACAGUUCCUCUAGGUCUGGCAAACUUGAUCCACUGCUUUAAGUGGGAGCUCCCAAGUGGUUUGGUAUCUAAAGACUUGGACAUGACUGAGAUUUGGGGAUAUCGCUCUCAGAAACCAAACACUUGCUUGUCGAGCCAACUGCUGAGCUAGCCUACACAACAACCUUCAUAGAGGAAUGAAAUUGAAUUCUCUUUUUAUUAUAGUCGUUUUUUGGGUCAAAUUUAAUGGACAGGCAUGGCAGAUGGCUAAUUCGCAGUCAUUGUAUUUUCUUUUCACAAAAUGAUAGAAAGAUAAUAGAAACUCCUGAAAAAAUGAAUCAGAAGUAGUGCACCUGAAGGAUGAAGAUUGAAUGCAAAAGUUGUUUGUGAACAUUAUACAGGAUUGCUACGACUCUUAAUCCACCCUUUGAUCAGCUAUGAACAUUAUACGGUAUUAGGUUUUUAUUUUUCUUCAAAGUUAUAUAUAUCCUCAUGGUGAUUUGGUUUUUUCACAUAGCUAUACUGCUAUGGUAUACUGAAUAAUUAAAGAACCCAUGUUUCACCUCUAUUGUUUGACCCAACUUGGCACAUUGGAUUCCCCUUCGAUAGAUGAUGACUUUUUGAUAGCUAAAUUAGGUUUCAGUUUUUGUCCACAAUUUAAAUGUACCUACUACGCCUAAUCAAAAGGACAAUAUACCAAAUCUGUCGGAACAGUUGUCUUAGUUGACGCAGCAUGAAGCAAUCAAAAGGGUUACUAACGUAAUCUAUUAAAGAAUGAGGUCUGGAGUCCACCAAAAAUUUGAGAGAAAUUCCAAAGGGUUGAAAAUGAUUAAUGAUUGAAUAAUUAGAAUUUGUAAUCCAAUGACUUAAAUAAAAGAUGGAACCACUCAGAACAACUCAAAAGACGUUGAUAAUUAAAAACAACAUUAAUCGAAUGAUUUUUAUUACGAAACUUUAAAUUGCGUUUUGGAGGCUGAAAUGACAUCGAAUGGCCAAAAUCCAUCGUAUAUAAUCGCAAAGCAAUGUGUUUCAACCGUGGUGUCGUUCCCCUUCCGAAAAUGUAUCACAUGCCCAAUUCAGAGCUUGGACGCCAAAUCUGCAAAUUUCAACUGGGUCAUUUUGUCUUUCAGCAGUCCAUGUUGAAGAAAGUUAGGGUUCCACCAUCAACCAAUUAGCAAUAUGGGGAGUAGCACAGCUUCUUAUAAACUCAUACAAGGUCCCUCCUCCCAUCAAUGUGAGACUCAUUAUUCUCAACAUGCCUCCUCAUGUGUGAAGAAUUUUCAAGCCUAACACAUGGACAACACAACGGGGUGACGUGGAGCUCAUGUGACAAUUUGGCUUCCUUUUGUCUUCUGAUGGUCCAUUAUGAAGAAAGUUGGGGUUCCACUAUAAAACCAAUUGGCAAUAUGGAGAGUAGUCAAACUUCUUAUAAGCCCAUGCAAGGUCCCUCCUCCCAUCAAUGUGGGGCUCAUUCUCAACGCCCUCUCAUGUGUGGCGAAUUUUCAACCCUAACACGUGGACAACACAACAGGGUGACGUGGAGCUCAUGUGGCCAUUUGACUUCAGACAUGGGACAACCUGUUUUGAUACCAUGAAGAAAGUUGGGGUUCCAUCAGAAAACCAAUUGGCAAUAUAGGAAAUAGCCCAACCUCUUAUAAGCCCAUGCAAGGUCUCUCCUUCCAUCAAUGUGGUAUUCAUUCUCAACACACCCCUCUUCAAUCCAUUUAGUUAUUUGUUCUACAUCAUUACUGAACAAAACCAUUAACGUUAAGCAAAGAGUUGUCGUCCAGUUAGUGUGUGUAUAUAUAUAUAUACACACACACACAUCAAGCACCUUAUUUGAGUCCAUGAGAAAAUGUCUCAUUUCCCUCAAAUAGAAAGCUAGAAUGACUCCUUCAGCAAUAAUCAUCCUCAUACUCUUCCUUACCUUCCUCUAGUAUCUCAUCCACAUACUAACCUUUGGAUUCCGAAGGUCGAAACACCAAGGAAUACUGCCUUAUGGGCCUACGACACUACCAAUCAUUGUAAUCUUCAUAUGCUAGGCAACUUUCCCUACUGCAACCUCCAACACUUGGCCGAAAAAUAUGGCCCUAUAAUGUCCAUACACCUAGGCUUCGUACCCAACAUAGUGGUUUCAUCCCCCAAAGCUGCAGAUCGCUAUUCUUGAAAACCCACGACAGAGUUUUCGCUAACCGCCCCACGCUCGAAGUCUGUGAUUACUUAUCCUAUAGGCAAAAGGGCAUGGCCCUAACUGACUAUGGUCCAUAUUGGCGGCAAGUAAGGAAGCUUUGCACCCAGCAGCUUCUUUGUCGGUAAAAAAUUGAGUAUUUUUCUCCAUUGAGAAGGGAGGAAGUGGGGUUGUUGGUUCAAUCGCUUAAGAAGGCUGUAAAGGUAGGUGAGGUGGUGGAUAUGAGUAAUAAAGUUGGUGGGCUAGUAGAGAGCAUAAUAUAAAUGAUGAUAUUGGGGAACAAAAAUGAUGAUUUGUUUGAUGUCAAGGGAAUUGUUGAGGAGAUUAUGUCCUUGAUAGGGUCAUUUCAUAUUGGUGAUUAUGUGCCUUUCCUUAGUCCAUUUGAUCUUCAGGUAAAAAUAUUUCUCUUUAGUCUUUAUCAACUUAAUUGUUAUCCCAAAUAUUUCUAAUGUCGUAGAUGAAAGGACUAUAUAUUUACAUUGUUCUAAAAAAUUUCGUGUAGCGCCGCCUAAGCGCUAGGUGGCUGACCACCGCUCCAAUUAAUCCCUAGGGUUUAAAAAAUUAAGAAAAGUUGCAUAAACAAGUCUAGAAGCCCGCCUAGACCCGCUUAGGCACCCACUUAGGUCGUGACUCUCACUUUGACGGAAAAUAUAUGACUUUCAUUUUGCAUUUUAUUGUUUUUAAUACAUUGUAAGUGGUACUUGGAUGAACUCUCAUUAUGUUUCUCAAUACAAUUAAUGAAGCGUUUGAUGUAGUGUCGGACUGAGAAUAAAAAACAAUAACAAAUUAUAAUAUUAUAUUAUUUAAUUCACUAUAAUUAUUAUUUUAUAUUAUUAAUUCAUUUUAUUAUUAUUUUAUUCUUACUUUUGUCUAUAUUUUUCCAUUCUAGAAACCUUCCUAGUCCUUUCCUAUUUCUUUUCUAUUCAUUUCCCUCACCCAUCAUAAUUUUGCUCCGUCCUCUCCCUCUUAUUCCUCCCCACUCCCUCUGUUUCUCCCUAAGUUUGUCCAUCCUAGUCGUUCUUUUUCUUUGUCCCUCUCCCUUUUCAUCUCCACCUUUUUCUUCCUAUUUUGUCCGUUCAUUCCUUUUUUUUUUCUUUCUAAUUUUUCUAAGACGCAAUUGGCAAAUUAGAACCCAUAUCAGAGUUUGAGUCAUAUGGGUACUCAUUGUUCUGCUUCUCUGGCGUCAACGACGAUGGUUUGCGAUUAGGGAGUUUGGAGUGCAUGUGUAAUUAGAACGGCUCUUGUGAAUGUGUGAUUGGACGACUGCUAUGCGUUUCUGUUGACCCUAGAAACUACAAAGCCUACGUGGCGCGCAGGCCGAGUAAUCUAUAAGCUAACUACGUCAUUCGAUGAGUGCGGGGCGUGCCAACUCGUCGGCCGAGCUCGGCCGAGGAGUAAAUUUUUUGAUGUUGCGUUGGGUGCGCGGCCGACUUCUGCGUCUUGCGAUUGCGGCCGAGGAAGGAACACGUCUCGGCCUCUUGGGCUCUCGAACCUGAAGACAAGGUUACUAUUUUUACGAAGUUCAAUAUCAAAUCCGGCUUUCAACGUGCCGAAUGUAAUAACUUGUAACACCUCACUUCGCCGAGAAGGCUGAUGAGAUGACCUCGACCAAUAAGGAUUCAGAAAUCCUUCUCGACCGAGACUUGGAUAGGUAAUCAAUCGUUCUCGCUGCAGUGCUGUUGAUGCCUACUGCGAGACCAACUGAUUCUACGGUGACAGACCUAUCUAUGCCGACUUAAGAUAUCACCGGUUGCUUCCACAGUGCUGUUGAUGCUAACGGAAGAUGUGUCAGCGAAAAAGAAAAAGAAAAAUCACAAGUUGUGAGAAUUUGCGCAGGGUAAUUUUUGUAUUGAUUUGCAGGGGGCUUGGAUGAUGUACAGCUUCCCCUAUUUAUAGUACUGGAUCUUGAAUCCGAGUUAAAAUCCUACUCGGACUAGGUUUUCCUCUCCGGAUCAACACCACCUCGACCAGUCAUAUUUUCACUGGGAUUGUGAACCUAGUCCUUAACUGAGCCGGAUUCGCUUCUGGGUCACUGAUCCUGCCAAAACUCCCUAUUGUACUAGGACUUGACUUGUGUUAUGAUCUAACCGACCUAGGCUUGGAAGCCCACGAGCUGAACGAUCCAUGGCCUUCUUGCCGCACGGCCUCCCGGGCCGAGAAUGAUCCUAAACUUGGCUCAAACUAUUAUUUUUGGCCCAAACAUUGCCCCCUCGCUUCUGAGGUCCUCGGCCUGAAUUCUUCGGCCGAGUUUCAGCCUUGAAGAAGCAAAUCUACCACUCAGAACCCUAGUGCCCGAGUUCCAAGGUGCAUUUAUUGAACACGAUUGCACGAUCUUGAUCCUGCUAACCAAACUUGCCACGUGGCGUCCUUUUAACACGGCCAAUCCCUAAUAAUGAUGUCUAAGGCGUGCGGCUGCCUGAACUGUCAUGCCAUCAUGACCUUAUGGCUGAACUUAGCCACUCUACCUCAAUUCGCGAGCCACUACCUCAAUCCGUGAGUCACUUGUCAUCGUGCAGGCGUCGAAACGUCUUCCGCCAUUAAUCUCGCCGUCACACGCAAUCGUGCGCCCCCAAAACCUGAGACCUUCGGUCUUCUCAACUGCAUUUCCCAAAUGUUCAUCAUGAUCAGCGAUUCCUUCGGUCGAUUUUGCCUUUUGUUUUGAAUUUCAAACGAUUGCCCUUCCUGCCAAAAUCCUAUAAAUACUGAAAUCCCUCAUUCCUACUUUACGUUUUCAAAAACUCUGAAAUUUUUUGCCCUUGUUCUCCAGCAUCUUUCUCUUUUCCAGGUCUCAAUCUUCAAAUCCCCCAACCCAGAAAACUUUUUACACCGUGCUUCCUUCAUACAAUGGCAUCCUUCAUCUUUAAGCUUUCCAGGGAAUGUGACCAGCAUCAGAAAAUUCUUGAUCGAAGCUCGAUCAAAACCAUACGGUUUGAAAGUGACAUGAGCAUUUCCCACCAAAUCUUAGGUCCUCUUUUCAAGGCGGCAGUACCGUCAACCAUUACUGGACUUCUUCAGGAGCACUGCCUAUCAUCUUUGCUCCAAGGGUUUGAAUGGUCGAGAUGGGAUGCAGCAAAACCCAAGGCUCCUGGCCCUCGACGACCACAACCUGGGUUGUCCGAAUGGAAAAGCUCUUCGGUGAGCAAUGGAAGGCCCUCGGCAUCUACGAUGCCAUCCUCCUCGCUAGCCUCAUCCCUCGGCUGGUCGGCGACUGCGGACUCCGUUGCUGUCAAAGUUGGACAACGAGACUCUUCGGUUCCUUCUCCGAUGGUUUGAUCCUGCGGUGCUGCUUCGGCAACUUGUUGGUUCUGCGUGACUGCCUCAGGUGAGGUUGAUAUCGACAGUGUGCUUGGGGUUAGGACCUGGACCUGUUCCUGGUAGUGUAGCCGGGCAUCCCUGGUGUCGAGAUAAGCAUCUAGACGUGCAACACGUGCUAUUUCAUCGGUCGUAAGGCCGAAGAGCGAAACAGCCGAAAAUACUUCGAAGUGAUAUCGUAAAUACUGAAGGUCCUCCAUUGAGAAAGGAAGGUCGGCUGCAUCGAUAUCAGUGUAUGGGUCGACUUCAAAUCCAAGGACACGAGCUUCUCGUAUGUGCUGGAACCUUGCUUUCAAUCCUGGGUCUGAGGUUUUCUGGAUGAUUCGCUCGGCAUCAGGACAAGUCAGGACUAGAUCAAUGGUGUCCUGGCAUGCCUUCGGUAAACCAUACAGAUUGUUGGCCGAAUGUUUCUUAUGAAAUUCGCGCAUAUAUUCCAAAGACCCCCCAAGGAACGGGGGAUGCAAAUUCCGUCGAAUUCUGAUCAAAGGUUCUUGUAUAGCCGGCAGGGAUAAUUUACUUUCGGCCUCUUGCCUGAAAUGUUCAAGGCGUGCCUUCAUCUCCCCUGGUCGAAGAAGAAGUUUGAUCCGUUUAUCGGCCUCUUCAAACGUGGUUUCGACAUCUUGGUCGACCAGCCGUUUCCCUUGAGCCAACUCUGUCAUAAUGGCCGGAGGUGGUCGUUCAUCAUCAGUAGCAAUUAUGUCCUUCAGCCACCAUUUAGGGACCGAAGUUUCUUGGACUGCCCGUCGGCGGGCUAUGCAAUCUAUCUUUUGGUACUGACGUUUCUGGGAUUUGGACAGUGCGGUGUAGACACAUUUCGAAGAAUGAUAUGUAUACCAUCGUUGAUCUCUAGGCUCGAGAGGUUUGAAGGUUUUUUGGCUCCGCGAUGAUUCUGAACUGGUAGAAUUACGUUUAUAGUAAUCAUCGUCAUAGAAUGAAGCAUCAAAAUCGAGGCGCCGCCUGACCGGGGGUGUCUCCUCUAUCCGUACUUUAGGACCGAGCCUAUCAAAAACCCCUUGAUGUUGGCCUACUUUAGCUACCUUUUGCCGGGUUGCGGCCAUCGGUCGUUCUGCUAUAAGCGAAGAGGGCUUCUCCUCUGGCUCACUGUCGACCUUUGCUCUACAUUUACAGCACAAAACCGCCGUCCCACUGUCUUCAUCGGUGCUAUAAUCCAUCAUAGGUUUGACAAUAGCGGGUCCUGUUAAAGCUGUAGGUGGUUCGUUUGAACGAAAUCAGCCAUAAACCGUGGCCGAGAAUUCUGAUUCCGCAAGCGUUGCGUCGCAACAACUUCGGCCUUUCCUUUCCCUUUGUCCUUAGGUAGGCACGCAUCGACCAUAUUUACUGUUGCCGUGGGGAACGGGUCAGUAUCAACACUCAUCUUCUUCUCUGGAAAUUUCAGUUUGCCAUUAUCAAUCCAGCUUUGGACGUUGUCGCGAAACACGACGUAAUUGUUUGUCGUAUGUUUGCUUGAAUUGUGGUAUUUACAAUACACCUUUCCUUUAAGCUCUUCGGCCUUGGGAAUGUUGUGACCAGGCCGAAGCUUGAUGAUUCUUGCUGAUAACAGUUGGUCAAAAAUUGCGUCAACCUUUGUAAUAUCAAAAGUAUAAACUUUUGACGGUUUCAACGUUCCUUCAGUGGCCGAGCGGCUUUUGACUUCCCUAGAGUCAACUUGAGUCAAUGUCUUGCAAACGUAUGGCUUAUCUAUCACUAUCUCAGCUGCAUCCACACUAACGCAUUCAUCAUCGGUUGAUGCAUGAUUGACAGUAGGAUUCUUGUAAAUCGUCCCCCGAGUUGGAACUUUCGAAAUCUUUUCCUCACGGAGCAAGUAAUCAUACUGCUCGACAUGUUGGGCUAAUUCGUACAUAUCCCGAAAGUUUGCCCCAAAGAAUUUCUUUUUGUAUUCGACGUCGAGGCCGUUCAAAGCAAGCCUGACAAAUUCGACUUCGGGUAAAGGCACUCGGCACCAAUUCCUGGCUGAUUUGAACUUGGUAAGAUAAUCCAUUGGUGACUCAUCAGAUGCUUGAGCCAUCCUUGCUAAUGAGGAAACUGACAUCUCCAUCCCUGGCCGAUAAAACUGCUCGUGGAAUUUCUCGACCAACUCAUCCCAGUCUUGGACGGAAUUAGGAGGGAGAUUGAUAUACCAGGCGAAUGCUGAGCCGGUCAAUGAGAAGUUGAAUAGCCGUAACUUAUGGAAAUCACUAUUAACAUCCCUGCAUUGCGCGGUGAAACGAGCCACGUGCUCCAACGAAGAUAGGGACGAUUCACCGGUAAAAAGGCUAAAAUCUGGGAUCUUGAAACCCUUCGGGUAUCUGAACGUUUCCACGUAAGAUGGGUACGGAUGGAUAAACUUAGGAAAAUUCGGCCCUUUCUUCAUGGCCGAGUCGAUCAUCCGCUGAACUUCGGUCACAUCAACAGGUGUUGCUUCGACCCUAUGGUCGGUUCCGUCUGACCUACUAUUCGACCAUCCUCAUUUUUCCAAGUCAAUUGGUUUGAGCCGAGCAGGAAUAAGCUUGGCCGGCACAAUUGGUAACGGAUUGUUUCCUGUUGGUAAUUGCUGGAGAAGAUCGAAAGGCCUGCUGUCACUGACUUUACUAACCAGCAUUUCGAGCAAUCUGGUUUGUCGCUCAUUGGAACUGAGUAUCACGUCAUGCAGCUUGUCAAUGCCUCGACUAAACGUCUGCUCGACUGACCGAGACUGCUCGUCUAGUCACUUUCGAAGAAACGACCUUGUUGGUGGGUCAGAUCCUUCACCACCAUCCUCGUCGCACACCUCUACUAUCCCUUCAUUGAGAACGCAGGUGUUUCUAUUAGGGAUGUCUAGACCGCGGAAUUGACCGCCAAGAUUAACUUCUGUUUCUCGGCGAGUCGCGCUUGUGGACUCAGGUGUCACAGCGCUAAGGGGAUUCUGCGCCUGUGGCACACUUUGUCCUAUGUUCUGAAUCGGCAAAUCUGAUGUCGACUUUCCCAUAACUGUUUUCUUUUUUACCGAUCGUGUUUCAAUUGGCAUGAACUUCGUAGUUUAGCACUAGGUCCCACCGGGCGUGCCAAAAUGUUGACCCUAGAAACUACAAAGCCUACGUGGCGCGCAGGCCGAGUAAUCUAUAAGCUAACUACGUCAUUCGAUGAGUGCAGGGCGUGGCAACUCGUCGGCCGAGCUCGGCCGAGGAGUAAAUUUUUUGAUGUUGCGUUGGGUGCACGGCUGACUUCUGCGUCUUGCGAUUGCGGCCGAGGAAGGAACACGUCUCGGCCUCUUGGGCUCUCGAACCUGAAGACAAAGUUACUAUUUUUACGAAGUUCAAUAUCAAAUCCGGCUUUCAACGUGCCGAAUGUAAUAACUUGUAACACCUCACUUCGCCGAGAAGGCUGAUGAGAUGACCUCGACCAAUAAGGAUUCAGAAAUCCUUCUCGAUCGAGACUUGGAUAGGUAAUCAAUCGUUCUCGCCGCAGUGCUGUUGAUGCCAACGGAAGAUACUGCGAGACCGACUGAUUCUACGGUGACAGACCUAUCUAUGCCGACUUAAGAUAUCACCGGUUGCUUCCACAGUGCUGUUGAUGUCAACGGAAGAUGUGUCAAUGAAAAAGAAAAAGAAAAAUCACAAGUUGUGAGAAUUUGCGCAGGGCAAUUUUUGUAUUGAUUUGCAGGGGGCUUGGAUGAUGUACAGCUUCCCCUAUUUAUAGUACUAGAUCUUGAAUCCGAGUUAAAAUCCUACUCGGACUAGGUCUUCCUCUCCGGAUCAACACCACCUCGACCAAUCCUAUUUUCACUAGGAUUGUGAACCUAGUCCUUAAUUGAGCCGGAUUCGCUUCUGGGUCACUGAUCCUGCCGAAACUCCAUAUUGUACUAGGACUCGACUUGUGUUAUGAUCUAACCGACCUAGGCUUGGAAGCCCACGAGCUGAACGAUCCAUGGCCUUCUUGCCGCACGGCCUCCCGGGCCGAGAAUGAUCCUAAACUCGGCCCAAACUAUUAUUUUGGGCCCAAACAGUUUCAUAUGCACAACGAUUUUGUUUUUGUUUUUUGUAUCGAAUUUUGGGUUUGAAUCUGGUUUUGAGAAUGGUAAGCAUGCAUAAUUUUUUGCCUUUUUUGUUUUCGAAUUUUGAGGGAUUUAGUUUUGAAAAUGGUAGAUGAGAGGGGUGAAGCAGAGUGGAGUUGGUAAAUGGGAUCUGGGUUUUGAAUUUUGCGAGGAACAAGUAGAGGGGGGCAACCAAGGAGUUGGUCAUAGCAAUCCGGUAGAUUUCGGGGGGUCACGCUAAGCCCCUCUAGCAAAGCCCUUUGUCUUGGUUAGUCGGGGCGAGUCUCAUUAAAGCUUGUCCCGGCGUGGAACAAACAUGGAACUGCAUUCCCAUUUAAUCUAAUCCAGUCUAGUGAAUGCUAGCGAGUGCAAACAAAUGCACCCUUAGAGGUGAUUCUAAAUUGUCCUUAACUUUUUAAAUAUCCCAAAUAAUUACCUAAUGUUUUGAAAAUUAAACAUCUGUUGUGACACUAAGAGUAAAGUGAAGAUAUUGCAGUAUUAAGUGAUGAUGUCAUUAAUAUUGAGUGAUAAUGUGGACAAAAGUUAGUUUUCAUUUCAGUCUCUCGUCUAAUAACUACUGCUAGUCAUAUCACCGGACCAACUUUUCUCAUCUCAGAGAUUAACCAAACGCGCGAAGAGAACUAGGGCGACAGCCGACCAACUUUUCGAAAAGAUAAUUGGAGAACAUGGACGUGCUGCUCUCACUAAUGAAUCAACCAUUAAACCCUAACGACAAGCAAUCGUUUGGGGCCUUCGACAUGAUUACGGGUGCCUUCGACACUUAAUCUAACGCAAUCGUUUGGGGCCUCGCAGAACUCUUGAGACACCCAAGGGUAAUGAAGUAUCUCCAACAAGAGCUUCGAACUGUGAUCGGGAUGGACCAGAUGAUGGAAGAGAAUGAUUUACCAAGGUUGCGUUACUUAAAUAUGGUGGUCAUGGAGAGCUUUAGACUACACCCAGCUGGAUCGUUGCUAAUCCCUCGUGAAUCCACGCAGGACAAUACAAUCGAUGGAUAUUACAUACCUAAGAAAUCAAGAAUCCUAACAAACACUUGGGCUAUUGGGAGAGAUCCCAAUGUUUGGUCGGAUAAUGUGCAACAAUUUUACCCUGAAAGGUUUAUAAAUAGCAAUGUUGACGUCCUGGGACAUGACUUCCAGCUUCUACCUUUCGGGUCCCGCCGAAGAGGGUACCCUGGUAUACAGUUAGGGCUAACCACAGUUCGGCUGGCUUUGGCGAACUUGGUCCACUGCUUUAACUGGGACCUCCCAAGCGGCCUUCUACCUGAAGACGUGGACAUGGCUGAGACGUUCGGCAUAGCGCCGUCAUAAGCCCAAUACUUGCUCGCCGUACCAACUUACCGGCUAAAGAUUAAUUAAUUAGACAUUCGUCCAUUUGCGAUGUAUCCGGCAAUGACCAUGGUUGAAAAUAAAUUAUGUCUAUUGCAAUUAUAAACAAUAAGGUCAAAGUGACAAAUCAAUUAGUAGUUAAAAUAAUCAUAUAUGAAGUAAAGGAGAAGCAGAGAACCUCUAAAAGUAAAAAAUAGAAGGACGAUUGGAUAUGUUGAUUAGUUUUCAUAUUUGAUAAAAUAUUGAGAAAAGGUAUCAAUUGUAUCCAGCAUCUGUAUAUUUGUCAUAAAAAACCAACCCCACCAGCCCCCUCUUCCCUUUGUAGCUUGUCCCCAUCCCCAGCCAUAAUGUUUCACCACCUUUACCCCGCUCCCAUCUCAGAUAUUUCACCAUCCAUCCACUGUAAUGUAAGCGCGGCCACAGAAGAAGAAAUGUUGUUGCGAUGAGUAGCAGCGUGCGGUGUGCUAUCAAAAAUUUUCAUCCUCUUAUAUAUUACAUAUGAGUAUAAAUUUUUUAAUAAAAAAGUUUUAACUGAAAAGAAAAUCCUUAUCAUAUGAUUUUAUUUAUAUUGCAAUUGAUUAAGUGGAGCCUACACUUAGGGCUGGUUUGGGGUUGUUUAAAUUUUUUCAAAAGCAGUUUUUUAACGUUGGGGCCUUAAUUGUGUUUGGUAGAUAAAAAAAAAGUGUUUAUUUUUUUCAAAUUUUUGAGUUCAAAACAGCAGAAACAGCUCUACAUAUGUUUUAUUAUUAAUUUUUUUAUCAAACUUUUUUUAUUGAAGGCAAGUGAAUAGUAUCAUUUAAGGAAAAUUGUAUAUUAACAACCCUACCCUCAUUUUCUUUUUGCUAAAACCAUUUUAGCACUAUAGUUUACCAAACACUUACCUGUUUUUUUUUCAUAAAAAAUUUUUAAAAAAAAACACGCAACUAUAGAAGGAGCCUUGAAAAAAACGCAGAACCCCAAGCUAGUCCUUAAAAUAUUAAUUUUUCAAUUUUCUCUAACAAUAACAAAAACUUGUGUAUUACUUUUUCCUAUUUUUCUCUAGCAAUAAAUAAAAAUCUAAGCAUAUUACUUUUUUUUCACAACCAUAAGCAUAUUUCUGUAUCUCUUUUUUUAUCAUGCUCUUUUUGUUUUAAAUCGAUGAACCUUAAUUCACAAUUUCAUGGCAAUUGGAAAUUAUUCAAUUAGUAAGGAUGGGAUGCUUAUUUCAAUGAAAUUUGAAUAUUGAUUAUUGAAUUCUGUAUGAAUAUAUUGUCCAAAUUAUUAUUAUUAUUUUAAAUAAAGAAGAUUUUUUUAAUUCGCACAUAACCCCAAAAAGUCAGAAACAGCCGUAGUACCAAGGAAGAAGGCCAUGGACAUGACAAAAAAGAAGCAUCCACCAUCUAGUCGUAGAAAAGAGUCGCCACAUCAGGCAAGCAACGAUGUGAAUUGCACAUGCAGUGAGAGUGCGGCUGCGGAAGUGAGAAAUAUAGAAGGAAUGAGAACACAACGGAAUUGAGAAUAUAUGUGUUUGGGCCCAAAAUAAUAGUUUGGGCCGAGUUUAGGAUCAUUCUCGGCCCGGGAGGCCAUGCGGCAAGAAGGCCAUGGAUCGUUCAGCUCGUGGGCUUCCAAGCCUAGGUCGGUUAGAUCAUAACACAAGUCGAGUUCUAGUACAAUAGGGAGUUUCGGCAGGAUCAGUGACCCAGAAGCGAAUCCGGCUCAGUUAAAGACUAGGUUCACAAUCCUAGUGAAAAUAGGACUGGUCGAGGUGGUGUUGAUCCGGAGAGGAAGACCUAGUCCGAGUAGGAUUUUAACUCGGAUUCAAGAUCCAGUACUAUAAAUAGGGGAAGCUGUACAUCAUCCAAGCCCCCUGCAAAUCAAUACAAAAAUUGCCCUGCGCAAAUUCUCACAACUUGUGAUUUUUCUUUUUCUUUUUCGCUGACACAUCUUCCGUUGGCAUCAACAGCACUGUGGAAGCAACCGGUGAUAUCUUAAGUCGGCAUAGAUAGCUCUGUCACCGUAGAAUCAGUCGGUCUCGCAGUAUCUUCUGUUGGCAUCAACAGCACUGCGGCGAGAACGAUUGAUUACCUAUCCAAGUCUCGGUCGAGAAGGAUUUCUGAAUCCUUAUUGGUCGAGGUCAUCUCAUCAGCCUUAUCGGCGAAGUGAGGUGUUACAAGUUAUUACAUUCGGCACGUUGAAAGCCGGAUUUGAUAUUGAACUUUGUAAAAAUAGUAACCUUGUCUUCAGGUUCGAGAGCCCAAGAGGCCGAGACGUGUUCCUUCCUCGGCCGCAAUCGCAAGACGCAGAAGUCAGCCGCGCACCCAACGCAACAUCAAAAAAUUUACUCCUCGGCCGAGCUCGGCCGACGAGUUGCCACACCCCGCACUCAUCGAAUGACGUAGUUAGCUUAUAGAUUACUCGGCCUGCGCGCCACGUAGGCUUUGUAGUUUUUAGGGUCAACAUUUUGGCACGCCCGGUGGGACCUAGUGCUAAACUACGAAGUUCAUGCCAAUUGAAACACGAUCGGUAAAAAAGAAAACAGCUAUGGGAAAGUCGACAUCAGAUUUGCCGAUUCAGAACAUAGGACAAAGUGUGCCACAGGCGCAGAAUCCUCUUAGCGCUGUGACACCUGAGUCCACAAGCGCGACUCGUCGAGAGAGAGAAGUUAAUCUCGGCGGUCAAUUCCGCAGUCUAGACAUCCCUAAUAGAAACACCUGCGUUCUCAAUGAAGGGAUAAUAGAGGUGUGCGACGAGGAUGGUGGUGAAGGAUCUGACCCACCAACAAGGUCGUUUCUUCGAAAGCGACUAGACGAGCAGUCUCGGUCAGUCGAGCAGAUGUUUAGUCGAGGCAUUGACAAGCUGCAUAACGUGAUACUCAGUUCCAAUGAGCGACAAACCAGAUUGCUCGAAAUGCUGGUUAGUAAAGUCAGUGACAGCAGGCCUUUCGAUCUUCUCCAGCACUUACCAACAGGAAACAAUCCGUUACCAAUUAUGCCGGCCGAGCCUAUUCAUGCUCGGCUCAAACCAAUUGACUUGGAAAAAGGAGUGGGGUCGAAUAGUAGGUCAGACGGAACCGACCAGAGGGUCGAAGCAACACCUGUUGAUGUGACCGAAGUUCAGCGGAUGAUCGACUCGGCCAUGAAGAAAGGGCCGAAGUUUCCUAAGUUUAUCCAUCCGUACCCAGCUUACGUGGAAACGUUCAGAUACCCGAAGGGUUUCAAGAUCCCAGAUUUUAGCCUUUUUACCGGUGAAUCAUCCCUAUCUUCGUUGGAGCACGUGGCUCGUUUCACCGCGCAAUGCAGGGAUGUUAAUGGUGAUUUCCAUAAGUUACGGCUGUUCAACUUCUCAUUGACCGGCUCAGCAUUCGCCUGGUAUAUCAAUCUCCCUCCUAAUUCCGUCCAAGACUGGGAGGAGUUGGUCGAGAAAUUCCACGAGCAGUUUUAUCGGCCAGGGAUGGAGAUGUCAGUUUCCUCAUUAGCAAGGAUGGCUCAAGCAUCUGAUGAAUCACCAAUGGAUUAUCUUACCAAGUUCAAAUCAGCCAGGAAUUGGUGCCGAGUGCCUUUACCCGAAGUCGAAUUUGUCAGGCUUGCUUUGAACGGCCUCGACAUCGAAUACAAAAAGAAAUUCUUGGGGGCAAACUUUCGGGAUAUGUACGAAUUAGCCCAACAUGUCGAGCAGUAUGAUUACUUGCUCCGUGAGGAAAAGAUUUCGAAAGUUCCAACUCGGGGGACGAUUUACAAGAAUCCUACUGUCAAUCAUGCAUCAACCGAUGAUGAAUGCGUUAGUGUGGAUGCAGCUAAGAUAGUGAUAGAUAAGCCAUACGUUUGCAAGGCAUUGACUCAAGUUGACUCUAGGGAAGUCAAAAGCCGCUCGGCCACUGAAGGAACGUUGAAACCGUCAAAAGUUUAUACUUUUGAUAUUACAAAGGCUGACGCAAUUUUUGACCAACUUUUAUCAGCAAGAAUCAUCAAGCUUCGGCCUGGUCACAACAUUCCCAAGGCCGAAGAGCUUAAAGGAAAGGUGUAUUGUAAAUACCACAAUUCAAGCAAACAUACGACAAACAAUUGCGUCGUUUCGCGACAACGUCCAAAGCUGGAUUGAUAAUGGCAAACUGAAAUUUCCAGAGAAGAAGAUGAGUGUUGAUACUGACCCGUUCCCCACGGCAACAGUAAAUAUGGUCGAUGCGUGCCUACCUAAGGACAAAGGGAAAGGAAAGGCCGAAGUUGUUGCGACGCAACGCUUGCGGAAUCAGAAUUCUCGGCCACGGUUCAUGGCCAAUUUUCGUUCAAACGAACCACCUACAGCUUUAACAGGACCCGCUAUUGUCAAACCUAUGAUGGAUUAUAGCACCGAUGAAGACAGUGGGACGGUGGUUUUGUGCCGUAAAUGUAGAGCAAAGGUCGAUAGUGAGCCAGAGGAGAAGCCCUCUUCGCUUAUAGCAGAACGACCGAUGGCCGCAACCCGGCAAAAGGUAGCUAACGUAGGCCAACAUCAAGGGGUUUUUGAUAGGCUCAGUCCUAAAGUACGGAUGGAGGAGACACCCUCGGUCAGGCGGCGCCUCGAUUUUGAUGCUUCAUUCUAUGACGAUGAUUACUAUAAACGUAAUUCUAGCAGUUCAGAAUCAUCGCGGAGCCAAAAAACCUUCAAACCUCCCGAGCCUAGAGAUCAACGAUGGUAUACAUAUCAUUCUUCGAAAGGCGUCUACACCGCACUGUCCAAAUCCCAGAAAUACCGGCACCAAAGGAUAGAUUGCAUGGCCCGCCGACGGGCAGCCCAAGAAACUUCGGUCCCUAAAUGGCGGCCGAAGGACAUAAUUGCUAUUGAUGAUGAACGACCACCUCCGGCCAUUAUGACAGAGUUGGCUCAAGGGAAACGGCUGGUCGACCAAGAUGUCAAAACCACGUUUGAAGAGGCCGAUAAACGGAUCAAACUUCUUCUUUGACCAGGGGAGAUGAAGGCACGCAUUGAACAUUUCAGGCAAGAGGCCGAAAGCAAAUUAACCCCUCCAGUUAUACAAGAACCUUUGAUCAGAAUUCGACGGAAUUUGCAUCCCCCGUUCCUUGGGGAGUCUUUGGAAUAUAUGCGCGAAUUUCAUAAGAAACAUUCGGCCAACGAUCUGUAUGGUUUGCCGAAGGCAUGCCAGGACACCAUUGAUCUAGUCCUGACUUGUCCUGAGGCCGAGCGAAUCAUCUAGAAAACCUCAGACCCAGGAUUGAAAGCAAGGUUCCAGCACAUAAAAGAAGCUCGUGUCCUUGGAUUUGAAGUCGACCCAUACACUGAUAUCGAUGCAGCCGACCUUCCUUUCUCAAUGGAGGACCUUCAGUAUUUACGAUAUCACUUCGAAGUAUUUUUGGCUGUUUCGCUCUUCGGCCUUACGACCGAUGAAAUAGCACGUGUUGCACGUCUAGAUGCUUAUCUCGACACCAGGAAUUCCCGGCUACACUACCAGGAACAGGUCCAGGUCCUAACCCCAAGCACACUGUCGAUAUCAACCUCACCUGAGGCAGUCACGCAGAACCAACAAGUUGCCGAAGCAGCACCGCAGGAUCAAACCAUCGGAGAAGGAACUGAAGAGUCUCGUUGUCCAACUUUGACAACAAUGGAGUUCGCAGUCGCCGACCAACCGAGGGAUGAGGCUAGCGAGGAGGAUGGCAUCGUAGAUGCCGAGGGCCUUCCAUUGCUCGCCGAAGAGCCUUUCCAUUCGGACAACCCAGGUUGUGGUCGUCGAGGGCCAGGAGCCUUGGGGUUUUGCUGCAUCCCAUCUCGACCAUUCAAACCCUUGGAGCAAAGAUGAUAGGCAGUGCUCCUGAAGAAGUCCAGUAAUGGUUGACGGUACUGCCGCCUUGAAAAGAGGACCUAAGAUUUGGUGGGAAAUGCUCAUGUCACUUUCAAACCGUAUGGUUUUGAUCGAGAUUCGAUCAAGAAUUUUCUAAUGCUGGUCACAUUCCCUGGAAAGCUUAGAGAUGAAGGAUGCCAUUGUAUGAAGGAAGCACGGUGUAAAAAGUUUUCUGGGUUGGGGGAUUUGAAGAUGGAGACCUGGAAAAGAGAAAGAUGCUGGAGAACAAGGGCAAAAAUUUCAGAGUUUUUUGAAAACAUAAAGUAGGAAUGAGGGAUUUCAGUAUUUAUAGGAUUUUGGCAGGAAGGGCAAUCGUUUGAAAUUCAAAACAAAGGGCAAAAUCGACCGAAGGAAUCGCUAAUCAUGAUGAACAUUUGGGAAAUGCAGUUGAGAAGACCGAAGGUCUCAGGUUUUGGGGGCGCACGAUUGCGUGUGACGGCGAGAUUAAUGGCGGAAGACGUUUCGACGCCUGCACGAUGACAAGUGACUCACGAAUUGAGGUAGUGGCUCGCGGAUUGAGGUAGAGUGGCUAAGUUCAGCCAUAAGGUCAUGAUGGCAUGACGGUUCAGGCAGCCGCACGCCUUAGACGUCAUUAUUAGGGAUUGGCCGUGUUAAAAGGACGCCACGUGGCGAGUUUGGUUAGCAGGAUCAAGAUCGUGCAAUCGUGUUCAAUAAAUGCGCCUUGGAACUCGGGCACUAGGGUUCUGAGUGGUAGAUUCGCUUCUUCAAGGCUGAAACUCGGCCGAGGACCUCAGAAGCGAGGGGGUAAUGUUUGGGCCCAAAAUAAUAGUUUGGGCCGAGUUUAGGAUCAUUCUCGGCCCGGGAGGCCAUGCGGCAAGAAGGCCAUGGAUCGUUCAGCUCGUGGGCUUCCAAGCCUAGGUUGGUUAGAUCAUAACACAAGUCGAGUCCUAGUACAAUAGAGAGUUUAGCAGGAUCGGUGACCCAGAAGCGAAUCCGGCUCAGUUAAGGACUAGGUUCACAAUCCUAGUGAAAAUAGGACUGGUCGAGGUGGUGUUGAUCCGGAGAGGAAGACCUAGUCCGAGUAGGAUUUUAACUCGGAUUCAAGAUCCAGUACUAUAAAUAGGGGAAGCUGUACAUCAUCCAAGCCCCCUGCAAAUCAAUACAAAAAUUACCCUGCGCAAAUUCUCACAACUUGUGAUUUUUCUUUUUCUUUUUCGCUGACACAUCUUCCGUUGGCUUCAACAGCACUGUGGAAGCAACCGGUGAUAUCUUAAGUCGGCAUAGAUAGCUCUGUCACCGUAGAAUCAGUCUGUCACCGUAGAAUCAGUCGGUCUCGCAGUAUCUUCCGUUGGCAUCAACAGCACUGCGGCGAGAACGAUUGAUUACCUAUCCAAGUCUCGGUCGAGAAGGAUUUCUGAAUCCUUAUUGGUCGAGGUCAUCUCAUCAGCCUUCUCGGCGAAGUGAGGUGUUACAAGUUAUUACAUUCGGCACGUUGAAAGCCGGAUUUGAUAUUGAACUUCGUAAAAAUAGUAACCUUGUCUUCAGGUUCGAGAGCCCAAGAGGCCGAGACGUGUUCCUUCCUCGGCCGCAAUCGCAAGACGCAGAAGUCAGCCGCGCACCCAACGCAACAUCAAAAAAUUUACUCCUCGGCCGAGCUCGGCCGACGAGUUGGCACGCCCCGCACUCAUCGAAGGACAUAGUUAGCUUAUAGAUUACUCGGCCUACGCGCCACGUAGGCUUUGUAGUUUCUAGGGUCAACAAUAUGACUCCCAACCUGAGAAGUAAGAUGUUAAUCCUGGUACUCGUGAGGAUUUAGAUCUCCUAUACUGCAUUGGAUUAUGAGGAAAUUUCAAAUUUCAAAGGAAUGUUAAAAUUAUGAAAUUUAUAUUCUAGAAUUUGUAAAUUUUUUGUUUGGCUAACUUUAGGAAUAAAGAAAUUCAAAUAACGUAUAUCUAGAAUCAUUAAUAUAUUUGUGGAAGAUAAUAAGUUAGAAAAUGUUACUAGCGCAGGUGGAGGCGGCAGCAAUCGUGAUGGUGGGUGGUGAUGACGAUAGGCAGUGGCGGUGGCCGUGAUGCUUCUCUACGAAGAACCUCGCAUCAAGUACCGGGCCAACCGCGGAGAUUUGUCUCCUUCAGUUUCAACGCGGACAUGCACAUCAAGGAAUCACUUUCAAUCACUGCGGCGGCUGACGACUUCAAAUCUACUAGCAAUUGGGCCCCUUCCCUUGUAGCCAUAGCCUCAGCAGGCAAAGCAGACUGAAGACAAUCCCAAUCCCACCGGUGCCUGAAUUUGAACAAUUUCAUUUUUGUCUUUAUUUAGUUCAACACUAGGGUUUGGAAAGUGAUCAUUGUGACAAAGUUUUAAAUUUAAAAAAAGAAUUACUUAAAAUUGUUAUCAAUUUUUAGGUUUUAAUGUUCAUCAAAUGAACUAUUUGUAGUUAAUUCUUCCACAUCCUUUCCAGUUUCCACCAACUUUUUCAUACCCUUCUUUUAUGCACACAAAUAUAUAUAUAUAUAUGUAUAUAUGUAUGUAUGUAUGUAUGUAUGUAUUGAAUGUGCUUAUCUAAAGGCCUUAACUAAAUUAUUAGCUUAAAAGAAUUUCAAAAAAGAAAACAUAUCAAAUAGUUUAACUAAAGGAAUUUUGCAAUGUCAAAAUUGAUCUUAGCUUCCAUUUUUCUCAGGAAUUUCGCAAAGUGAAAAUCGAUCCAUCUUCCUCCUUAACCUUUCAGGAUUUGUAACUCCUAUAUGCCAUAGACGAAAGCUAUUGAUGUAAUGAAUACUUCUUAACUUGGGUUAAUAUAAAAUCCAAACAAGAAAAUAUUCCAUUCAUGAAAUUUCUUUUAUCUCCCAUGAAAAAUAAAAAAAAAUAAGGUUCUCAAUCCAUUGAUUAAAACCUUAUUGCUUUUCAAUUUUUUUUAUCAAGGUCCUUAAGUUUUAAUAAAUGUGAUUAUUUCAAUAGCAAAAUAUAUACAUGUCAAGAUAAUUAAAUUUUAUUUCCAAAUAUGUUUGUUUAGUGAUAGGACCGUUACAUUUGAUAUAUUUAUAUUUAUGGCUAAACUUUGUAUCAUAUAUUUCUACUUUUAGAUGGUAGCCAUUUUUAAUUUGCAAUUUUUUUUUAAUUUGUACCAAUUUUCUUUCUAGCUUUAAUUUGCACCGUAUUUUUAUAUUUUAAAUUUUUAUUUGUACUAAAUAAAUUUUUUCAACCUUUUAUUUUUACCCAUUAUUAUUUAUAAUAUACCCAUAUUUCUUUAAAACUGUUUUACUUGUUAUAUGUAAAAUAAACUUUUUUUUUUGUAAAUAUACCAUUUUUUAUGUUAAAUGCACCCAUUGUUUAAUAUAAUUUUUUUUUUAAUUCUAAAAUGUACCCAUUGUUUUUUUAUGUAUAAAAUGGACCUUUUUUUAUUUAUAAAAUUUACCAAUUUUUUAUAUGCAUGUAAAAUGUACCUAAAUUUUUAUUAUAAGUGUACUUAUAUUUAUAAAAAUAAAAAGAUCCCUUUUUUUUUUAUAAUCUAGAAUGCAUCCAUAAGCAAUUAUUAUUAUUAUUAUUAUUUGGUUGAAACCCAUAAGCAAUUUUGAAUAAUUGAAUUGGUAGUGUAAAUGAAGCAAAAUAACGGUUUGAGUCUUUAUUGGUAUUAUUGCAUCUCUUUUAUUAUUAGGCUUAAUCGGAUAAAUGGUUCCCGUGGUCAUAAGGUAUUCGGAUGAUAGCCCCUGUGGUAAAAAAAUUCGUAUUUAAACCCAUGUGGUCGCAGUCUGUUAGGAUUUAAACCCCUGUGGUCUAAGUCUGUUAGGAUUUAUGCCCUUCUGUCAUUCCUCCAUUAGGUUUAGGUUGGCAAAAUCGGAUAAAUGGUCCCCGUGGUCAUAAGGUAUUCGGAAGAUAGUCCCUGUGGUAAAAAAAAAUUCAGAUUUAAACCCCUGUGGUCUAAGUUUGUUAAGAUUUAUGCCCGAAACUAGAGGUUCUGUCAUUUCUCCACUAAGCUUACAGGUGGAGCAGAGUUUCUCUGAGGAGACGCGACAAAACGAGGUGGAACUAAUAAAUCACAUAAUUCAUUAAAAUUCAAGAUCUAAUAAAUCAAAUAAUUCAAAAUGCCUUUAUAAAAUUAACGAGUUUUUUUACUCCCAAAUAUCCAACCGAUUAAUUAAUUCUUUAUAACAUAUUCUAUUUUUCUUUGACAAAUAAGACAGUAAUCGUUGGCGUUUUCCCAAAAUUUUACAUAAACCUCUAUGAGAUAAAUAGUUUUUUUUGUGUAAUUGUGAAUGUGAAGUAAGUCUUCGUAUCCUAUUGGUGAAACUAACUAUUUGAAAUUCAACAGAUCCUCUGUUUUCGUCUUUUUCUUCUUGUGAAAUAACUGAGAUGAAUGAAUUUUUUUACCAUAAACUAAAAUCUUCUCUCCCCCCCUCUUUUUAUUGUAAGAUAUUUUUUAUUGAUAGAUACUCAGAGAAACUCUGCUCCACCUGUAAGCUUAACGAAGGAAUGACAAAACCUCUAAUUUCAGGCAUAAAUCCUAAUAGACUUAGACUACAUGAGUUUAAAUCCGAAUUUUUUCUACUAUAGGGGCUAUCUUCCGAAUUCCUUAUGACCACGGAGACCAUUUAUCCGAUUUGGCCAACCUAAACCUAAUGGAGGAAUGACAGAAAGGCAUAAAUCCUAACAGACUUAGACCACAGGGGUUUAAAUCAUAACAGACUGUGACCACAGGGAUUUAAAUCCGAAUUUUUUUACCACAGGGGCUACCAUCCGAAUACCUUAUGACCACAGGGACCAUUUAUCCGAUUAGGCCUUAUUAUUAUGUGGCAGGAGAAUGACUUCAAUUCAAAACCUAAAAUGCAUAACAUUUAGGGGCCAAGAACUGCAAUUAAACUAGGCCAAGAAUUGCAACUAAACUAUCCCAAAUUAAAUGUCUUUUGAAAUUAGUUACACGGUAUCCAGGACCAUGAAAUUUUAAUAUAAUAUGGACAAAAUGGACACUUUUUUAUUGAGCUUAGUUAAUAACUGGAUCUUCUGAACACCAACGCGAGGAGCAAAACGAAGUCAGAAAAAAUUGAGCCCAUUAGCGAGAGCAUGACAAAAAUUAAGAGGAUGCAGUCGAAAUAGAGGCUUGAUCGACAAUGGUUUCUAUGGUCUGACAGGUGCGCAACGAACCGGAAUCCGUGAGACACCAAAAAGUGACAGCAAGAGAAUGCGAGUUCGAGAACGGUGGAAGAGAGGGCAGGUUCGAGAACAACAGAAGAAAGAUAUGAGAGAGUAGCGGAAACCAAGAGAAAAAUCGAGAAGGUACGGUUGAAAUGGAGGGUCGAUCGAUGAUCGACGCGUGGACCGAAUGGGCAAAAUAGCCAUUUGACUGUACAGAGGAGGAAACAGCAAGGCAAACGGAGGAAAAACCGAGGGGCAAAACCGUCCGCCCACUGGUCAUCCACAGUACCACGUGGUUGGGUUUUAGUAUAUAGAGAUUUAUUUAAACAACACAUCCGUUUAUCUUUUAAAUCUUCUCUUAAAGAUUAUCUCUACUAAAAGUCACAUAAAUUUGAAACCAUAUAACUAUUAGAUUUAAUGGUAGUCCUUAGGUGUUCUUUUUUUUUUAUUUAAAGAGUCUUUAAGUCUUCUUUGUAGAGCUAUAUUCGUCCAUUUUAUCACUACAAAUAAAUGUCUUAUUGGUUUUUUAUUUAUCUAAUUUUUUACAAAGAUCUAUGGAUGAAGAAUUGAAAUAAAGACAUUUCGAUUUCCUAAAAAGUUACGAACGAAAACUACUAUGAAAUGUUUCCAAACUUGUGUUAAAAUGGGUGUCCCCGAUCCUGCUAGUUGUAUAUAAAAAAGGUAUAUAUGGUGACAUAUCAGGUUCGUCGUAUAUGACUUAUUUUGUUAUAAAUUAUAAUAUCAUAGUGGGAAGAUUUCGUACGUCCAUAGUUCUCUCUCUUUGAAUACAUUAAUUAAUACUUCUAUCUUCAUGAAAAUAAUUUGUCUUGCAUAUAUAUACUCAAAAAUAAAUUAUAGUUUUUUUUUCUUUUGCCUAUUGAACAUUUUUUUUUUAAUUUAACUGUAAAAUCCACUCGACUCUAGCAUUGCUAUCAUGAGAAAUGACUUUUAGUAGAAUUUAUUAAAUAAAUAAGAAAAAAUAAAUCGCAGUUGACUAUUUGCAAAAUUAUUUGCCCUUCCACCCAGAACCGAUAAAUUUUUCCCUCCCACUACGAAUGUCAAACAAAAAUAUACUUAAAAAGGGACACGCCCAUUUUCCUCCUGCAUUGUUUGACUCCAUUUAUUCUGGGGUUUAGUUCAACUCAGCCGCUGUUGACCAAAAAAUAUACGUAAAUGAAAUCAGCCGUCGAAUCUCUCCAGAUGAAAUCCGACGGCAACCUCAGAAUUAUUAAUUUUCGAGAGUACAGAUAUAUCUUUUAUAUAUAUCGAUCAAACACGUCUCCUGCAUAUAUAUAUGAGUGCCUGAGCAAAUUAAUGUCCAAAUCUCAGUUAUCACAUAGACAGCGAGAAUGAGUCCCAUCCUUCUCCUGGUCUUUCUUGCCUUCUUCUGCUCUGUCAUCCACAUAAUCUCAAGAUCUAAACACCCAAAAAAACUGCCUCCUGGCCCUUGGGCGCUGCCAAUCAUUGGUAACCUUCACAUGCUAGGCAACCUCCCACACCGCAGCCUCCAACACUUAGCCAAAAAGUAUGGACCUAUAAUGUCCAUGCGCCUAGGCAGCAAAACCACCAUAGUGGUCUCGUCCCCCAAAGUUGCCGAGCUAUUCCUUAAAACCCACGACACCAUCUUCGCUAGUCGCCCCAAAGUCCAAUCAUCGGACUACUUGUCGUAUGGCACAAAGGGUAUGGGUUUUAGUGAAUACGGUCCGUACUGGCGCCAUAUUAGGAAGCUGUGCACACUUCAGCUUCUUUGUCCGUCAAAAAUCGAGGGCUUUGCUCCGCUGAGGAGGGAGGAGGUCGGGUUGUUGGUGCAGUCGUUGAAGAAGGCCACGGAGGCCGGAGAAGUGGUGGAUCUUAGUGAGAAGGUUGGUGAGCUUAUUGAGGGUAUAACGUAUCGGAUGGUGUUGGGAAGCAAAAAUGAUGAUACGUUUGAUGUCAAGGGAAUUAUUGAGGAGAUCAUGUUGUUGACAGGGGCAGUCAACAUUGGUGAUUAUGUUCCUUUCCUCAGUCCAUUUGAUAUUCAGGUAUAUAUGUGUGUGUUCAUUUUCUUUUAAUAGACAUGAAAUAUGAACUGAUGAUAACAUGGUGAGAUAAGUUUACGUGUCCCUUUAGGUUACCAUAUUUGUUCCUCUAAUAGUAAAGAAAAUUUUUUAGCGCGAAUUUCAAACUUCAAGACUUAUACCACUAAACUGUGAUAUUAUGUGACUGCUAAAUUUUUUAAUAUGAAGAUAAAAAUAAGAAACUCCAGAAUUAUUGCAUUAAUAGGUUCGCUCCCAUUUACACAAACACAAAAUGCAAUGCUUUAUACACGUAUGUCAUUCAUAUAUCAUGCAAUAGGUCGGUAUCAUCGAUUCAUCAUUGCAUGAUCUCCUUCUCAGGGAUUGAACAAGCGCAUGAAGACACUUAGCAAGACAAUCGACCAACUUCUGGAAAAGAUAAUUGGGGAACACGAACAAGUUUCUAAAAGUAAGCAACUACAAGGCCGCCCUCAAAAUCAUAAGGACUUUGUGGAGAUGCUGCUUUCAUUGAUGAACCAACCAUUAAACCCUAACGACGAGCAAGUCUACGUAGUCGACCGAACUAAUGUGAAAGCCAUCUUACUGGACAUGAUUUCGGGUGCCUUUGACACGUCAGCGACCGCGAUUGUUUGGAACCUUGCCGAACUCUUGAGGCAUCCUAGGGUAAUGAAGCUUCUCCAACAAGAGCUCCAAACCGUGAUCGGAAUGGAUAGAACGGUGGAGGAGAGCGAUUUGCCAAAGUUGGCCUACUUGAACAAGGUUAUCAAAGAGAGCUUUAGGCUACAUCCGGUAGCACCGUUGCUGAUUCCACAUGCAUCCAUGGAGGACAUCACGGUUGAUGGAUAUCAUAUACCCAAGAAAUCCACCAUCUUUGUGAACAUCUGGACGAUUGGGAGAGAUCCAAGUGUAUGGUCAGAUAAUGUGGAAGAGUUUUACCCUGAAAGGUUUAAUGACAGUGACGUUGACCUUAAGGGGCAUGACUUCCAGCUUUUACCAUUUGGGUCCGGAAGAAGAGGGUGCCCUGCCAUGCAACUAGGGUUAACCACGGUUCGUCUAGCUCUGGCAAAUUUGGUCCACUGCUUCAAUUUUGAUCUCCCAAGUGGCCUCCUCCCUAACGAGUUGGACAUGACCGAGACUUUUGGGCUGUCGCUGUCAAAAACCAAACACUUGCUUGUCGUGCCCACAUAUCGCCUACACAAUUAACAUUCAUAGAGAUUUGGUUUUGCAUAUGGUGUGUAUAUACCAUUAUUCUAAAAAUUCCCGCUUAGUGCCAUCUAAGUUCCGUUUAGUGCACCUUCGGCGUUUGAAAAUUAAGAAAUGAUGCCUAACCCACCUUGGUCACAACUCUCACUUACAAAAUAGAUAAAUUUUAUUUUGCAUUUUAUUUUUUUUAAUAAAUUGUAAGCGACUUGUUGAAUAUUUAGAUGAAUAAUCUAUGUUAUUUUGUUUUACAAUUUAUGUAUCUUAAUACAAUUAUGUAAUUCAUUUUAUAUAUUUUACAAUUUAUAUAUACAUAUACUAAAUAAUAAAGUACCUAUUUUUACUUUUUUGAUCCCAUUUGUUAAGUUACAUCGCCAAACCUAAAUAAGAUGAUCAAUGACUUUACUGUAAAGAUCCAUCAUCAUAUUCAUGACACUGUUCCAAUCAUUCAAAAGGACCAUAAACAAAAUGUAAUCUAACACAACUGGCAUGAUUUCGUAAUUUAACUAGUUUAACAACAACCACCACCACCACCACCAAGCCUUAUCGUACUAAGUGGGUUCUACUGUAUGAAUCCUAAAAUACUAUUGCGCUCGGUUUUGCGGCAAAUAUGUUGUCCUCAAUAUAACCAGUUUAUCAAAUGACAAAAAAUUUAUGUUAUAUCCCCGAUUUGUUCUAGCUGUAUAUAUAUGUAUACACAUCCGACACCUACUUUGAGUCCCAUAUAAUUAUUCUGUUAGCAAUAGCCGUCGUCCUCUUUUUUAGCUUCCGUUGGUCUCUCGUUCACAUCCCAACCUCUGGAUUCCGGAGUCCAAAACACCGAAAACAGCCAGGUGGCCCUAGGGCACUACCGAUCAUUGGUAACCUUCAUAUAAUAGGUAAGCCGUCCAACGCCUAGCCAAAAAAUAUGGACCUAUAACGUCCAUUCGCCUAGGCACCAAAACCACCAUAGUCCCUCGAGCCACAGAGCUACUCUUGAAAACUCACGACACCGUUUUCGCUAGCCGCCCCAAAUUCCAAGCCCCUGAGUACUUAUCCGACGCAAAGGGCAUGGUCUUGACCGAACAUGGAUGCUAUGCUGCAUAAGAAAAACCUCGUAGCAUUAAAUGCUACACAUAUAUCUAAACUACUCUAAAAUACGGGAAUGGGAGAUUCGAAUUUGGAAACAAGAGGUGGGCAGGCACACGGCCCUGGCCUCCCCAUCCGCGUCGAAGUGGCAAAUAAAAUAAGUUAAAAGAUGGCUUGUGCUAAAACAAUAAUCUUUCAAACACGAUUACGAUUUACAUCAUAAGAACAAACUGCAAUUGUAAUCCUGGACAUUUAAAAGUAACUAUACCUUCAAAAACUGUGAGCGCAAUGCGAUACUCUGCUUUAAUACUACAUAACCAUUUCAAUCAAAACAAAAUUUUGCUCAAAGUUCUAAGACUUAAAUGUUGUCUAGGAGUAAAAACACAAUUGCAUUUGCCUCGGUCGGAAAAACAAAAUAUCACCAAUGUUGCCAAAAACAGGACAUCAUUGUUGGUAUAUGGUCCAGCCCAUGAUCAAUGUUCUAGAUUAUUCUAAUAAGCAAGUGAGGUAGCUGGAGCAUGCUAGACAAUUCUAGCAUGUUAUUAAGUUGAUGGAAGAAGCUAGAGAGUACUAACUUCCUUGGUUGCAAAUGGAAAGAUCUAGAAGCUACAAUGUUGUGGCUAGUCUAGAAUUAUCUAUGCUAGAGGUUUGAAGAAUACACUAGAAACUAGUAGAAUGUCAAACCCUCACCUAUAAAUAUGGGUGUGAUGUUGUAGUGAAGUAACCAAUUAAGAACCAAGUGUGGGUAGCAAAGGAUCAAGUCCAAAGCUAGAGUUCCACUCCAAGAGUGAGAGUGAGAGUGUUCCACUACACUUUGAGAGUGAAGUUUAGAGUGAUAGAAAGUGUGUGUCAUACUUUCUUGUAUCCAUCAAGCUUUGUCUUUGGCUUGGUAAGACUACUAUUGUUGUACUCAUCUUUUUCAUAUAGUGAAGAUUGAUCCUUAUUCAGUGGACGUAGGCAUAAAUUGCUAAACCACAUAAAUUCUUGGUGUCCAUUUUCUACUUUACUUUGUGGAUUCUCUAUCUUGUAGUACCGACAUUCCUAACAAGUGGUAUCAGAGCCCGGUUGGCUCGUACUACGAGAUGGAAGGAAGUGGCACUAUGAUCAAACUCACCAACUCCAAUUGGGUAACAUGGAAGCCAAGGAUGGAGGACAUUCUCUAUUGCAAGGAUCUGCAUGAGCCAAUUGAAGGAGAUGCCGCUAAGCUCGAGAGCAUGUCUGAUGCCGAGUGGAAGAAGAUGAAUCGCAAGGCUAUUGGCACAAUUAGACAAUGGGUGGACGAUAGUGCUUUUCAUCAUGUGUCUAAUGAAACCAAUGCUAGCGAGUUUUGGACGAACCUUGAGUCCUUAUUCGAGAAGAAGACCCCAGCCAAGAAAGCCUUCUUGAUCAAAGAGCUCAUCUAUGUGAAGUACAAAGAUGGUUUAAGUGUAGCAGAACACUUGAACAAUUUCCAAAAUAUCAUCAACCAGUUGGCUACUAUGAAAAUGACGAUUGAGGACGAGCUGCAAGCGCUAUUGCUACUUGGAUCCUUGCCAGACAGUUGGGAGACCUUUGUGGUGAGUGUAAGUAACUCUGCUCCUACUGGUGUUCUUACUCUUGAUAAUGUAAAAAAUAGCUUGCUCAAUGAAGAAAUAAGGAGAAAGACUUCAAGCACAGAUAGCAUCCAAGUAUUUGUCACAGAGAACCACGGAAGAAGCAAGAGUAGAGAGCCUAGAGGUCAUGGCAGAAGUCCUAGCCGAUCCAAAUCAAGGUUCAGGGGUACAUGCCACCAUUGUGGCAAAGAAGGCCAUAUGAAGAAAAAUUGUCGAGUUUAGAAGAGAGAGCAAAGGGAAGGAAACAAUCAGGAGAAAGAUGAUACUGGCAAUACCACCGCUGUCAUAUGUGGUGAUGUACCAAAAAUAUUGUCUGUUGGUGAAUGUCUGCAUAUGGGCAACUCUGACAGAGACAUUGAAUGGAUCUUUGACAAUGGAGCUUCCUUCCAUGCUGCAUCAAACGGGAGUUCUUUAGUACAUACAAAGAAUGUGACUUUGGCAUAGUGAAGAUGGGGAAUGAAAGCUAUUCCAAAAGUUGAUGUUGAAAGAUGUGAGACAUAUUCCUGAUAUACGUCUCAAUCUGAUAUCCAUUGGUACCCUUGAUCGACAAGGUUAUUAUCACCAUAUGGGCGAAGGAAAAUUGAAGCUUACUAAAGGCUUAAUGGUGGUACCAAGAGCACGACUUUGUUGUAUGUUGUACCGGUCAAAUGCCAAGGUUUUGAAAGGUGAGUUGAAUGUUGUGGAGGACUCAUCUUUAGACUUAUGGCAUAAGAAGCUAGGCCAUAUGAGCGAAAAAGGCCUACAAGUUUAGGCAAAGAAGUCUCACAUUCCCUUUGCCAAAGGUACGUCGUUAAACUCUUGUGAGCACUGUUUAUUCGGAAAACAAAGAAGAAUUAGUUUUUCUGUUCCAUCUACAAAGAAAGGAAAUUUCCUAGAUCUUGUUUAUUCAGAUGUGUGUGGUCCCAUUGAAGUUGAGUCACUUGGAAGAAAUAAAUAUUUUGUUACUUAUAUUGAUGAUGCUUCACGAAGGGUCUGGGUGUAUUUGUUGAAAUCCAAAGACCAGGUGUUUCAGACAUUCCAGGAGUUCCAUGCCAUGGUGUAGAGGGAAAUUGGGAAACCUCUCAAGUGCCUUCGUAGCAACAACGGCGGCGAGUACACAUCUCACCAGUUUAGAGAGUAUUGUGCGAAACAUGGCAUACGUCAUAAGAAGACAGUUCCUGGAAUUCCACAACAUAACGGUGUUGUUGAAAGAAUGAACCGAACCAUCAUGGAGAAAGUCAGGUGUAUGCUGAGAACUGCAAAGUUAUCUAAACAUUUAUGUGGUGAAGCUGUAAGGACAGCCUACUAUUUGAUCAACCGAUCUCCAUCAGUACCAUUAGGUAUUGAUGUUCCAAAGAGAGUAUGGACUGGUAAUGAUGUGUCUUACUCUCAUCUGAAGGUGUUUGGUUGCAAAGCUUUUGUGCAUGUGCCUAAAGAGCAGAGAUCGAAGUUAGACUACAAUGAUACACCGUGCAUCUUUCUUGGUUAUGGCGGUGAAGAUUUGGUUACAGAUUAUGGGACUCAUACCAGAAGAAGUUUAUCCGAAGUAGAGACGCGGUCUUUUAUGAAGAUCAAACAAUUGAGGAUUCGGAUAAAGAGGCACAACCAGAUGGUGCAGUCAGAGGAGUUGAUCCAUUAGCUUCAGAUGAAGAAAGUCACGAUGACAUCCCUAAAGCAGCUGCCAAUGAAGUGCCUACAGAACCAUAUAAUGUUGAUCAGGGGGAGCCUGAUCAAGAUGUGCCAGACCAUGAGAUUGCUUAUCAGGGGGAGCCUAGUCAAGAAGAGCAGAUUCAAGGAGAACCCAAUCAGGGGGAGCCUCCAGCCCCACAUGAGAAUGAAGAUCAGGUCAGAAGAUCCAGCAGAGGUCAAAUACCGUCUACCAAGUAUUCUUUAUCAGAGUAUAUCAUGUUGACUAAUUAUGGAGAGCCUGAAACUUAUGAAGAGGCCAAAGCUCAUAACGACAGUGAUAAACGGAUGAAGGCAAUGGAGUCAGAGAUGGAUUCUUUAUUAAAGAAUGAAACCUAUGAGCUGGUAGAGCUUCCAAAGGGCAGAAAAGCGUUGAAAAACAAGUGGGUGUUCAAAUUGAAAAGGGACGACAACAUGACAAGGUACAAGGCUCGUUUGGUUGUCAAAGGUUUUGGUCAAAAGAAAGAAGUUGACUUUGAUGAGAUUUUCUCACCGGUGGUGAAGAUGACUUCCAUUCAAGUUAUACUUGGUAUGGCAGCAAUCAUGGAUCUUGAGCUCGAGCAGUUAGACGUUAAAACUACAUUUCUCCACGGCAACUUAGAAUAUGAGAUAUAUAUGGAGCAACCCAAAGGCUUUGAAGUCAAAGAUAAAGAAACUUUGGUGUGCAAGCUCAAGAAAAGCUUAUAUGGUCUUAAGCAGGCUCCUAGACAAUGGAAUAGGAAGUUCAACUCAUUCAUGGUGAGUAAUGGGUACAAGAGAACUCAUGCUGACUUUUGUGUCUAUAUCAAACAAUUUUCUGGAGGUAAAUUCAUCAUUUUAUUACUUUAUGUUAAUGACAUGUUGAUUGUCAAUCAAGAUGUUUCUAUGAUUAAAAAGCUCAAAGAAGAGUUAUCUAAGUCUUUUGACAUGAAGAACUUAAGGCCAGCCAAGCAGAAUUUGGGCAUGGAGAUAAUACGUGACAGAUAAUCCAAUAAGUUGUGGCUAUCACAAGAAAAGUAUGUUGAAAGAGUGUUUGAAAGGUUCAACAUGAAAGCAGCCAAAUCGGUAAGCUCACUUUUAGCCAAUCAUAUCAAGUUGAGCAAAGAGUCGUGUCAAAAAACAUAUGAAGAAAAGGAGAAAAUGGCAGUUGUUCCCUACUCUUCAGCAGUAGGAAGUAUCAUGUAUGCAAUGGUGUGCACAUGGCCAGAUAUUGCUCAUGCAGUAGGUGUGGUGAGCAGGUUUUUCUCUAAUCCAAGGAAAAACCAUUGGGAAGUUGUUAAGUGGAUUCUCAGAUAUUUGAAAGGGACUUCUAAGAUGUGCUUGUGCUUUGGCAAUUCCAAACCAAUCUUGGAAGGAUUUACAGAUGUUGACAUGGGAGGUGAGAAAUCUACGUCUGGGUACUUGUUUACUUUUGCAGGGGGAGCCGUGUCUUGGCAAUCCAAGUUGCAAAAGUGUGUUGCUUUGUCCACAACCGAGGCUGAAUACAUAGCCGCUACAGAAGCAUACAAGGAGUUGUUGUGGCUAAAGCGGUUUCUCCAAGAGUUGGGUUUGAAGCAAAGUGAUUAUGGCAUUUAUUGUGAUAGUCAGAGUGCUCUGGAUUUGAGCAAGAACACUACAUAUCAUUCACGCACUAAGCACAUUGAUAUUCGUUAUCAUUGGAUUAGAGAUGCUAUCGAGAAUAAGUUGCUACAGCUGAAGAAGAUUCAUACCGAUAAUAAUUCUUCAGACAUAUUGACAAAGGUAGUCACAAAAUCAAAGUUGGAAUUCUGCAUUAAGGCUGCUGGGAUGGACUCUAGGUAACUUGGAGUCAUGAUUGGAAUUCCUUCCUUAUGGACCGGAGGGGGGAGAUUGUUGGUAUAUGGUCCAGCACAUGAUCAAUGUUCUAGAUUAUUCUAAUAAGCAAGUGAGGUGGCUGGAGCAUGCUAGACAAAUCUAGCAUGUUAUUAAGUUGAUGGAAGAAGCUAGAGAGUACUAACUUCCUUGGUUGCAAAUGGAAAGAUCUAGAAGCUACAAUGUUGUGGCUAGUCUAGAAUUAUCUAUGCUAGAGGUUUGAAGAAUACACUAGAAACUAGUAGAAUGACAAACCCUCACCUAUAAAUAUGGGUGAUGUUGUAGUGAAGUAACCAAUUAAGAACCAAGUGUGGGUAGCAAAGGAUCAAGUCCAAAGCUAGAGUUCCACUCCAAGAGUGAGAGUCAGAGUGUUCCACUACACAUUGUGAGUGAAGUUUAGAGUGAUAGAAAGUGUGUGUCAUACUUUCCUGUAUCCAUCAAGCCUUGUCUUUGGCUUGGUAAGACUACUCUUGUUGUACUCAUCUUUUUCAUAUAGUGAAGAUUGAUCCUUGUUUAGUGGACGUAGGCAUAAAUUGCCGAACCACAUAAGUUCUUGGUAUCCAUUUUCUACUUUACUUUGUGCAUUCUUUAUCUUGUAGUACUGACAUUCCUAACAAUCAUCCCCUUCUCUAGCUCGUCAUCGUCUGCAAAAAAACAGAAAAGAAUGCACACGAUUAAGUUUACGUUUUGAACUUUGAAGAAUGAGCAGUUUCGUUUAGUAUUAUGGAAUGACCACGGGAGAAAAUUAAUGUCGAAAUAAAUUGGUUUUGCAAGAAAGCAAUGUCAAGAGACAAAAUUACACACACGCCACAAGGAACACCUUGUGCAACAUAAUUAGGCGGACUGCAUAAAUUACUAAAGUAUCAGGAAAAACCCCGGUUGCGCAGAAAAGGACUGCACUCCUCUACAUCUACCUUAAAAUUAAGAAACGGCAAAACAAAAGAGAACAGAACUAAAACAUCACACUACUUAUUACAACACAACAGGAUAUAGCACCAGACCAGACCAACAUCACAAACCAGCAUAUGAGAACCAAGUGUGAUUAGCUGAAAAUAAUAUGCAUAAAUUAGGGCUGGUUUGGUAUUGCUGUGCUUUGAAAAAAAACUGUUUCUGUUGUGCUGUGAUUAUAAGCUCAUUUUUACUGCUUUACGUUUUCAGCUUUUUUUCAUCAAAAAUUUUGAAAGUAAGCUGUUUUUAAGUAUUUACCAAACACUUUUUUGAGCUCAGCUUUUUUUAUACCCACUUUUUAUGAAAACACUACCAAACCAGUACUUAGUCCAUGACCCUCUUACUAAACAAAGCAGCCAGCCUAAACAAGACAAGAAAGGAGAAAAGGAAACAUGAAACGGAUACAACACAAAUAAGGAGAUGAUUUUUACACACAAUUUUAACACCAUCAACUUUCAUCAAUGGAUCCAAGAAAUCACAAACAAUCCGUUUGAAAGUUGAACUCUUUGUAAUAUUUCUUACCAAUUAACUGACAGAUUUGGUCAACUGAUAUGACCACUUCCGCUUCCAAAAGGAUGAAUCCUUAGUAGUGAGCUUGAUUAUCGAACCUGAGAAGGAGAACAUAGCAACCCAGAAGCAUCUGCCCCAACCACUGCAAGAUCACAAACAGUACAGAAUUGCCCUUCUUGAGUUGCCACAAACCGUGAGCUACAAUAAUAUGGGCAAGAGACGUCCUUCUGUCCUCGGUAAAUUGGUACAUGUGUUGCCCCACAAAUCACAAAUGGGUUUCUGAAAUCAUAGUUCAGUUGAGAUUUAUCAGUCAUAUUCCUUUCUGCAGCCUGCAGCACUUGCCGGGCUUUCUUUGCUUGACUCUCAUUGGUGGGGUUGGUUUCCAACAGCCGCCUGGCAAAGUUAGCUGCGGUGGCAAUGUUCCCUGCCUUAUAGCAAACAGUCGGUGCACUAAUCAAGGGCCGUAAUUAAAUCUUAUCUUUUUGCUAUAUUUCUUUUACUUCUUAACAGAAAAUUUAAUAGAUGUCUAAUAUUGCAAUGAAUUCAUAAGACGAGGUAUGACAUUGCAAUGUUUAAAAGAUAAUGUAUGAAAUUGUCGUUUGAUCCAUAAUUAAGGUAGUUUUGUGUUAGGUUUCAAUGCAAUUAAUAUGAUUUUUUUAUAUGUAAUAUUUAAAAUAUAAAACAGAAAUUAAGAAAAAAUAAAAUAACGUAAUAAAAUAAUAGUUUAAUUUGACAUAUCGAGUGAAGAGCAAAACAUUAAAAUAUAUCAAAGUGCCACAUAGACUGUCAAAUUUAAAUUUAUGUUUAAAAUUUGACAUUUCCUUUAUAAAUGAUCUUAUGACGUGUCGUGUGUGGAUUUGAAGGAGUGUAGGGACCAUGUGAGCUCUACGGUGUCAUGCAGCCACAGAAACACGAAUUAGGAGAAAUGAAUACGUCUUGACGACCAUAUAUGAGUAGGAAAAAUUAAAGGAAAAUGAUUUAUGUAAUUAAAUGGGUUAUAUGAUCGAUCACGGUCAGUGCUUUCUUACAAGGAAGAAUUUUUUUAAGUGUAAAGUAAUAAAUAAUGGAUAUGAGCCUGGGUUAUAUGAUCGAUCACGGUCAGUGCUUUCUUACAAGGAAGAAUUUGUUUUAAGUGUAAAGUAAUUAAUGGAUAUCAGCCUGGUUUGGUUGGAUUCGGUUUUAACGAAAACCCAAUUCUUUUUUCAUUGGAAAUAUUGCUAGCAUAUUUAGAUCAAUCACUCCAUUAUUCAUUGCUAAAUUUAUCGGUGUAGAUAUUUUUAGAGGCUCAAUACUGAAAAUUUCAUAUGAUCAAUGAAAAAGAAGAAUGCGAGCACGAGGAUGAUUCAACAAACUAGCACAUGCAUAGCUAAGAAUUCAAGUCAGCUAAUAUUUUUAUCCUUAUUCUCUGUCGCGUUUAAUAUUUUUAUCCUUAUUCUCUGUCGCAUUUAAUGUUUUUAUCCUUAUUCUAUGUCGCGUUAUCAAUUACAACUAAUCAAGUAUUAAUUUGAAUAACAUAUUGUAUGUUACUUAUGUUACUUCCGUUUUGUGUUAAACUAUUUAAAAUAAAAUUACUCCAAUAAUAUGGCUCCAUUGGGGUCGUGCUCGAAUUGCAAGAAGUCGUUCUUUGACCAUGAACGGUUCAAAGCCUAUAAGAAAUCAGGGGAACUAAGAUAUACACAUUACUAAAGCUAUAUAUUAAUCAUAUUAAUUAGUUUAAUUUCGAUCUAACGAUGAAUUAUUGAGAGGUGAACACUCUAGCUUCAUGUUCCGUUUUACUUGCUAUUCACGCAAUCAAACGCCGUUCUGCAGGCGCAAAGAAUAUUAAGUCUCCAGAUGCAUAGUAAUGGUAUACCAACAAGUUUCCUUCUCUGAAGCUUGGAAAAUGCUGUUCUGCUUGAUGAUGCAGCAGUUUCUUUCUUUUCUUCAUUUGUGCCCAGUUCGAAGGCGAACUCCGAAACCAAGGCCAAGUGAUCGCUUCCCACUUUCUGUAUAGAAGUAUGAGAAGAGAAUAGGGGUAGGUUCGGUUCCAUUUGGUUCGGUUUUUGGUUGAAACCGGAAACCAAACCGAAGUUACUGUUCGGUUUGGUUUUUAUUCGGUUCCAUUCAGUUUUUUUCGGUUUCAUUUUUUUUCGGUUCGGUUUCAGUCCGGUGUGGUUUUUCCCUUGAAAAUUGUUUUUUUUUUUGUUAAUAUUUAAAUUUGGAUAUUGGUAAACUAGCCCAAAAGAGGACUUGCCAAACUAGCCCAAAAGACCCAACAAACAGUAAAGGCAAAAAACCUAAGCUUCCACUGCAGCACCCGUCACUGAGCAUCCCUACUUGCAUAAACCCUCGCCAUCAACCAACCGACGUCUCGCCGAUUGCCACAUCCAGCCACAAGCACUUGUCCGAACAUAGCCAAAUAGACGAGAACCAAGGGCUUAAUAAAGAGUAAAGAUCCAAAAACCAAAGAUAUUUACCAUAUAGGGCUCCACAAAGACAAAUCCAAGAACAACAUCAACCAAUUUUCCUUCAAAACUCACAAACCAACAGUCCAAACAAACAUCAGCAACAUUUUUUAGAUGAUCAAAAAACACAAAAACAAAAAGAAAGAUUGAUUAAACAAUUAUAUGAAAAUCCAAACGGAAGAUUUCUCGAUCAAUCUGCAUAAUUCAUCUGUUGAACCACCUCCAAGUGGCUUCCGUUGUUUACAAGAGUGCGAAUGUAAAAGAUAAAAUAAAUUUACAAAUUUGCAAAGGGUAAUGAUUCUGAACCCAAUCAUUCAAUCACAAAUUAACAAAUUUACAAGAUUGGGAACAAAAUAGAUGAAAUUGAUAUAGCGAGAGCACCGUUUUCGAACAUGAACUUCUUGAAUCAGGCAUCGCGGCGGUGACCCACCUAAAAAUGAUGAACGGAUUGCUGCAAAUCCUUGUAUAAAUCGCUUGUAGUUGUAGACAUUCGAGCGUUCAACGAAGAAAUCAUGGAGGUGCAAGAAUUCGACGGUGGGAGAGAGAGAAAGCCUGGAAAGUCAGAAAAAAGGAGAUGAAAUAGCAGUAAAUGAGACGACUAGGGUUUUGUGUUUAGAAAUCUUAUAAAGAAUUAAAGAUCCAUAACCAGUAUAAAUAUUUUACUAAUACGAUUGCAACACAAAGCUUAAUGUCAAGUUGGCUGAAGCAAACACUCUCAACUAGGAGGUAAGGGGUUCGAAACAUUUGGCCUCUAGAUUUUGAGUAUUUGUAAAUGAUAUAUAUUAAAUAAUUAAAAAUAAAUCGGUUCAGUUUGAUUCGGUCUAGUUUCUGGACCACAAAAACUGAAACCAAACCAACCUAUUUUAGUUCAGUUCGGUUUUUUUGGCUUUGGUUCGGUGUUCAGCUUGGUUUUUUUCAAUUUUCGGUUUUCUGAACCCACCCUAGAAGAGAGAAUCAGAUUUGAAGAUAACAUUAUAUACAUUUAUUCGAAACAGCUAGCCCAUCAUUGCCACGCUGACUAGGAGUAAAAUGCAAAGAAUCACACACACGCACAACAGAAUCUCCAUNCAUCUGUGUGAAUCUUAUGAAAAUGAACCUCAAUCUUAUCUAAUCACUCAGGAAAAUGAAUCAUACUCAUCUUUCCAUCUAGACAAUGUGUACAAACUUUCACAUGAUCAUCUGUAAUACAAGAAUUUUUAGAAUCUCUUAGCAUAGUAGUCAACACCUUAUUAGAAGGGUGCCCAAGCCUUUGAUGCCACAGGGUACUCCUCACUGCAUGCCCCAAGAAAGCAAAAGACAAACCACCUUUAUUCAACAAUGUAGGAAAAAUAUAUACAGGAACUUUGAACAGUUCAUUAUUGCUACUCUUUCCUUGAUGAAGUAUCACCCCUGUUACCUUGUCUUGCACAAAAAAAACUGUUAUUCAUUACAUAUAAACCAACUAUGAUUAUCUUUGCAUAACUUCUUCAUAGAUAACAGAUUUAUAGUCAACAUAGGAACAUGCAAAAUAUUCUUAUGAAAUAAAGAAUGCGAUGGAGUCUAUAAAGUUCCAUUGCCACUAUGUUUAAUUAUCAAACCUUCAUUAUUUCCCAUAACUAUUUUCCAUAUGGAGUAGCUCUUGAAAGUAAUGUGACAUCAGGACUCAUAUGAUGAGAUGCUCCUGUGUUAAGAAUCCAAGAAUCUCCUACAACAAAUUCAUAAGGGUUUUGAGCAUUCAUUGCUAUGAAAUUUGCUUGACCAGAAGAUGUUGCUCCAUUUGCUUGAACAACAUAUUGAUUAAGAGGUGAAAACAUUGGUGGUUGAGGUCAAAGAACUUAUUGAAAACCCUAAUAUGCAUAGUUAGCAGAAGAUAGAGGAGGUUGAUUCCCUUGGUAAGAAUAAUUGCCUCUGUGCUUGUAAUUAAUAGCUAUAUGGCCUCGUUUUCCACAAAUUUGACAUUCUAGAAUAGGCUUCCUAUUGGUUUCAUUUCUAUACAGACAAGUCACUGUAGUGUGACCCUUUCGAGAACAAAUCUGACAUUCAGGAAUAGGUUCAUACCUAUUAUUAGAAUUACCAAAUCAAGGUUGCCAUGAAUUUCCAUUUCGAGCACCAUUGAAUCGAGGCUUGUAUCCAUCAUUACCUCUAGGCCUAUAAGAGUUAUUGUUAUAAGACCUAGAACCUUGACCAGAAUUCUGUUGAGACUAAAAAAUUAGUUCCAAUAGAUUGAAAAACACCCUAAGAGGGAGAUUGAUAACCAACAUUAGAUGAAGAUUUAUUUCCAUCAUGAUAUCCCUGUGAAGACUGUGAGGAAGAACUAGAACUAGAAGAAUUUUCAACACCACCCUGAGUAAGACCAUUAACAUACAUAACAGUCAUACUAUGUACUAGAGAUUUCAUUCUAGCCUCAACACUCUUCUCAGCACCCACCAAUUGUAAUAAGAGUAUCCCUAGCCAAGAUUACAAUCCUAAUCAUAUCAUAAUCAGAGGGUAGACCAGACAAGGCAGCAAUAAUCAGAUCAUUAUCAGAAACUUUUUCCCCAGCUGCUUGUAACUGAUCUUUAAGUGCUUUCAAUCUCAAUAUAUAUUUGUCAAUUGUAUCAUUAUCCUUUUGCAAAGUAUGAAGCUCAUCUUUUAAGUGAUUAACACUAGUACUAGACACAUCCAUAUAACGAUCUUGUAAUGCAGUCCAGGCCUCAUACGAUCUUUUACAACCAACAACAUGUUCAAUAGCAUCAUUACUUAAAGUAGCAAUCAACAGACUUAACAAAGCCAUAUCUUCCUUAACCCAGUCUUUAUAUGCAGUACUAAUUUCUUUGGUAACCCCAUAUUCAGGUGUAAGAACAAACUUUGGAGGACAAAUCAACUUUCCAGUGAAAUGAGCAAGAAGAUCAUAUCCACGAAGUACAAAACAAAAUUGAAAACUCCAUUUGAUAAAGUUUUCAUGACUAAGCUUACUUGUAAGCAUACCAAGCAGACUUUCAAUCUUCACAGUAGUAGAACAUGAUGAUCACAAACAAUCUUUGUAAAUACCACAAAUCAAGAAAUAGAUCAAGAACCCAGAUGGCUAGAAAAUUACCCAGAUGAAAUUUCACUCAACAACUGUGUAAAAUUACCAAAAACUGAACAAGAAUCAAUUCUUAUAUAUAUGUAUACAAAAAUCUUCCGAAGUCAACAAACUUCGUAUGGCAUCGGUUUUCACUCAAUUCAUUAAACUCAUAAAAUUGAGCACAAUUAUGGCAUCGGCCUUCAAACAAUUUUCAAUCAAUAUUACAAGAACUCAAACAUAUAUGGCAUCAGCCUUCAUGAAAUCAAACAGAAAUGUUGUAAUUUCGACUACAGAGAAAGAAACCAUAUCACCUCUUUUCCAGUGAAGUUAACAGCAUAAGAAGAAUCCAGCAUCAGCCACGCAAGCGAUACUGGCUCUCAAUACCAUAUUAACACUCACAAUAGAGAAUCAAGAAACAGAGAAAUCAAGGAUUCAGAGAAAAAUUAAGAGAGAAGAAAGGAAGCUAAGAAGUAUUUCACUAGAGAAAACAGUAAUUACAAUUGAACUUAUCUUUCUACAAAUGAGAGAGAAAGAGUAUUUAUACACUAAUAUUCAGCUUAGGUAGCUUAGGACAUAAGCCACAGUUUAUGUGUCAAUACUGCUGACGUGGCAUGUCUGAUAUGGACAAUAUUAAUUAAGGAAAACUAAUGAAAAGGGCUUGAAAACUUUGAGUUUUAAUGAUAAGGACAAAAUAAAGGGUAAAGUGAAUAGUACCCAGGAUUGACUUUUUAGUGUAAAAAUGUGGUUUUUCGUUAAAGUGAACAGUACCGGGUGCUUUUCUUAAAGUUCCCUAUUAAUAUGAUGUACAUAUCCAAUACAUUAGGCCUUCUUUAGGCCUGUUUGGUGUAAAUUCUGCAGUCUAAGAAAAAUUAAUGCCACAUCAAAAUUUUAGAUUUUGGAUAAGUUACAUUAAUUUGUCUUUGAUGAAGGUAGAAGAAUGAUUAAUGAUUAAUCAUGAAGGAAAGUGCAUAAUACUAAAGUAUCAGGAAAAACCCCGGUUGCGCAGAAAAGGACUGCACUCCUCUACAUCUACCUUAAAAUUAAGAAACGGCAAAACAAAAGAGAACAGAACUAAAACAUCACACUACUUAUUACAACACAACAGGAUAUAGCACCAGACCAGACCAACAUCACAAACCAGCAUAUGAGAACCAAGUGUGAUUAGCUGAAAAUAAUAUGCAUAAAUUAGGGCUGGUUUGGUAUUGCUGUGCUUUGAAAAAAAACUGUUUCUGUUGUGCUGUGAUUAUAAGCUCAUUUUUACUGCUUUACGUUUUCAGCUUUUUUUCAUCAAAAAUUUUGAAAGUAAGCUGUUUUUAAGUAUUUACCAAACACUUUUUUGAGCUCAGCUUUUUUUAUACCCACUUUUUAUGAAAACACUACCAAACCAGUACUUAGUCCAUGACCCUCUUACUAAACAAAGCAGCCAGCCUAAACAAGACAAGAAAGGAGAAAAGGAAACAUGAAACGGAUACAACACAAAUAAGGAGAUGAUUUUUACACACAAUUUUAACACCAUCAACUUUCAUCAAUGGAUCCAAGAAAUCACAAACAAUCCGUUUGAAAGUUGAACUCUUUGUAAUAUUUCUUACCAAUUAACUGACAGAUUUGGUCAACUGAUAUGACCACUUCCGCUUCCAAAAGGAUGAAUCCUUAGUAGUGAGCUUGAUUAUCGAACCUGAGAAGGAGAACAUAGCAACCCAGAAGCAUCUGCCCCAACCACUGCAAGAUCACAAACAGUACAGAAUUGCCCUUCUUGAGUUGCCACAAACCGUGAGCUACAAUAAUAUGGGCAAGAGACGUCCUUCUGUCCUCGGUAAAUUGGUACAUGUGUUGCCCCACAAAUCACAAAUGGGUUUCUGAAAUCAUAGUUCAGUUGAGAUUUAUCAGUCAUAUUCCUUUCUGCAGCCUGCAGCACUUGCCGGGCUUUCUUUGCUUGACUCUCAUUGGUGGGGUUGGUUUCCAACAGCCGCCUGGCAAAGUUAGCUGCGGUGGCAAUGUUCCCUGCCUUAUAGCAAACAGUCGGUGCACUAAUCAAGGGCCGUAAUUAAAUCUUAUCUUUUUGCUAUAUUUCUUUUACUUCUUAACAGAAAAUUUAAUAGAUGUCUAAUAUUGCAAUGAAUUCAUAAGACGAGGUAUGACAUUGCAAUGUUUAAAAGAUAAUGUAUGAAAUUGUCGUUUGAUCCAUAAUUAAGGUAGUUUUGUGUUAGGUUUCAAUGCAAUUAAUAUGAUUUUUUUAUAUGUAAUAUUUAAAAUAUAAAACAGAAAUUAAGAAAAUAAAAUAACGUAAUAAAAUAAUAGUUUAAUUUGACAUAUCGAGUGAAGAGCAAAACAUUAAAAUAUAUCAAAGUGCCACAUAGACUGUCAAAUUUAAAUUUAUGUUUAAAAUUUGACAUUUCCUUUAUAAAUGAUCUUAUGACGUGUCGUGUGUGGAUUUGAAGGAGUGUAGGGACCAUGUGAGCUCUACGGUGUCAUGCAGCCACAGAAACACGAAUUAGGAGAAAUGAAUACGUCUUGACGACCAUAUAUGAGUAGGAAAAAUUAAAGGAAAAUGAUUUAUGUAAUUAAAUGGGUUAUAUGAUCGAUCACGGUCAGUGCUUUCUUACAAGGAAGAAUUUUUUUAAGUGUAAAGUAAUAAAUAAUGGAUAUGAGCCUGGGUUAUAUGAUCGAUCACGGUCAGUGCUUUCUUACAAGGAAGAAUUUGUUUUAAGUGUAAAGUAAUUAAUGGAUAUCAGCCUGGUUUGGUUGGAUUCGGUUUUAACGAAAACCCAAUUCUUUUUUUCAUUGGAAAUAUUGCUAGCAUAUUUAGAUCAAUCACUCCAUUAUUCAUUGCUAAAUUUAUCGGUGUAGAUAUUUUUAGAGGCUCAAUACUGAAAAUUUCAUAUGAUCAAUGAAAAAGAAGAAUGCGAGCACGAGGAUGAUUCAACAAACUAGCACAUGCAUAGCUAAGAAUUCAAGUCAGCUAAUAUUUUUAUCCUUAUUCUCUGUCGCGUUUAAUAUUUUUAUCCUUAUUCUCUGUCGCAUUUAAUGUUUUUAUCCUUAUUCUAUGUCGCGUUAUCAAUUACAACUAAUCAAGUAUUAAUUUGAAUAACAUAUUGUAUGUUACUUAUGUUACUUCCGUUUUGUGUUAAACUAUUUAAAAUAAAAUUACUCCAAUAAUAUGGCUCCAUUGGGGUCGUGCUCGAAUUGCAAGAAGUCGUUCUUUGACCAUGAACGGUUCAAAGCCUAUAAGAAAUCAGGGGAACUAAGAUAUACACAUUACUAAAGCUAUAUAUUAAUCAUAUUAAUUAGUUUAAUUUCGAUCUAACGAUGAAUUAUUGAGAGGUGAACACUCUAGCUUCAUGUUCCGUUUUACUUGCUAUUCACGCAAUCAAACGCCGUUCUGCAGGCGCAAAGAAUAUUAAGUCUCCAGAUGCAUAGUAAUGGUAUAUACCAACAAGUUUCCUUCUCUGAAGCUUGGAAAAUGCUGUUCUGCUUGAUGAUGCAGCAGUUUCUUUCUUUUCUUCAUUUGUGCCCAGUUCGAAGGCGAACUCCGAAACCAAGGCCAAGUGAUCGCUUCCCACUUUCUGUAUAGAAGUAUGAGAAGAGAAUAGGGGUAGGUUCGGUUCCAUUUGGUUCGGUUUUUGGUUGAAACCGGAAACCAAACCGAAGUUACUGUUCGGUUUGGUUUUUAUUCGGUUCCAUUCAGUUUUUUUCGGUUUCAUUUUUUUUCGGUUCGGUUUCAGUCCGGUGUGUGGUUUUUCCCUUGAAAAUUGUUUUUUUUUUUGUUAAUAUUUAAAUUUGGAUAUUGGUAAACUAGCCCAAAAGAGGACUUGCCAAACUAGCCCAAAAGACCCAACAAACAGUAAAGGCAAAAAACCUAAGCUUCCACUGCAGCACCCGUCACUGAGCAUCCCUACUUGCAUAAACCCUCGCCAUCAACCAACCGACGUCUCGCCGAUUGCCACAUCCAGCCACAAGCACUUGUCCGAACAUAGCCAAAUAGACGAGAACCAAGGGCUUAAUAAAGAGUAAAGAUCCAAAAACCAAAGAUAUUUACCAUAUAGGGCUCCACAAAGACAAAUCCAAGAACAACAUCAACCAAUUUUCCUUCAAAACUCACAAACCAACAGUCCAAACAAACAUCAGCAACAUUUUUUAGAUGAUCAAAAAACACAAAAACAAAAAGAAAGAUUGAUUAAACAAUUAUAUGAAAAUCCAAACGGAAGAUUUCUCGAUCAAUCUGCACAUAAUUCAUCUGUUGAACCACCUCCAAGUGGCUUCCGUUGUUUACAAGAGUGCGAAUGUAAAAGAUAAAAUAAAUUUACAAAUUUGCAAAGGGUAAUGAUUCUGAACCCAAUCAUUCAAUCACAAAUUAACAAAUUUACAAGAUUGGGAACAAAAUAGAUGAAAUUGAUAUAGCGAGAGCACCGUUUUCGAACAUGAACUUCUUGAAUCAGGCAUCGCGGCGGUGACCCACCUAAAAAUGAUGAACGGAUUGCUGCAAAUCCUUGUAUAAAUCGCUUGUAGUUGUAGACAUUCGAGCGUUCAACGAAGAAAUCAUGGAGGUGCAAGAAUUCGACGGUGGGAGAGAGAAAGCCUGGAAAGUCAGAAAAAAGGAGAUGAAAUAGCAGUAAAUGAGACGACUAGGGUUUUGUGUUUAGAAAUCUUAUAAAGAAUUAAAGAUCCAUAACCAGUAUAAAUAUUUUACUAAUACGAUUGCAACACAAAGCUUAAUGUCAAGUUGGCUGAAGCAAACACUCUCAACUAGGAGGUAAGGGGUUCGAAACAUUUGGCCUCUAGAUUUUGAGUAUUUGUAAAUGAUAUAUAUUAAAUAAUUAAAAAUAAAUCGGUUCAGUUUGAUUCGGUCUAGUUUCUGGACCACAAAAACUGAAACCAAACCAACCUAUUUUAGUUCAGUUCGGUUUUUUUGGCUUUGGUUCGGUGUUCAGCUUGGUUUUUUUCAAUUUUCGGUUUUCUGAACCCACCCUAGAAGAGAGAAUCAGAUUUGAAGAUAACAUUAUAUACAUUUAUUCGAAACAGCUAGCCCAUCAUUGCCACGCUGACUAGGAGUAAAAUGCAAAGAAUCACACACACGCACACACAGAAUCUCCAUCAACCCCACAAAUGCAUGUAUAUGUCACUCUAAUCAUUGAGAGCCUUCGUAAAGUUUUCCCUCAAAUGGGUCCAGUAGCAGAAUCAAAAGUUGUCCUACCUUGCAAGGGAGGCUACCAAUCCUCUGGAGAACAUCAACUGGAACAGUGUCUAUAUAACUCUAGUGGGCACAAGACCAUCGGAGUACCUAUACGAAACAAGAAUUUCAUAUGAUUCAUCGGCAUAGCCAUUGUCAUAACCAACUCCACCGCGCGACAUUACAAUUGAUGUUACAAAAUUUAAGAAAAGCAAUUUACCAUAAGUAGUCACCGGUUCCAAAAAGUAGGAAGUAGCUACAGAUUCUUUUUUUUUUAAUUUUUGUAGCGACGGAUUAGGCGAGAUUAGCUCUUCGUCAACAGUCGCGUGCGAGGCACCAACCCUCUCCCAAAGGAGAAAUGACCGUUGCACCCAGAAACCCCCCGCCCGUCCCCCCUCUACAAGAUUUUAUUAAUAAUAAGAAGAAGAAAAAAAAGAAAAGUAGAACAAACGGGGGGACUAGGCCAAAACCCUCUAAAAACAAUUAAUGAAAAUGAUAUGGACUAGUUUAAGGUUGCUUAGCUUCAGUCACCUAAAAUUGAAUUCCCAUAAUUCAAUUGUUUAUAUUUCUUUCCCAAAAUCCUCUUCCAUAGCAACAAUUUGCUCCUCAUGAGCUCAAACGGAAGAAUGGAAGCCCGACACAAUCUCUUCUAUAAGACGCAUCAACAAAAUCGGGUACCAAGUCCCACCACGUACAGCUACUAUUCAUUGCACCAAAAUUAGCAAAAGCAUCCGCCAAACAAUUCCCUUCCCUGAAAAUAUGCGAAAAACGCAAAUGCAAGCGAGCAAUAUGCCAUAAACAAAUUUGCCCAAGAAACUUUAAGAAACCAUGGAACAUCCUUGGAGUGAGCUGAUAGUAGGCUGAUGAUAUGCAUAGAAUCUGUCUCUAACCAAAUGUUAUGCCAUUCUUUAUCCCAUGCAAUCAGAAUUGCCUCGAUGACAGCCACAAUCUCCACAACAACUGCACUUGGAUAAGAAGAUGAGGAGGCAAACGCUCAUAAAAAAAAGACCACUGGAGUCACGAAAAACACCACCACUACCCACUUGACCAUUCCCUUUACAAGACUUGUCUGUGUUAAUCUUAAUCCACCCAACAGGAGGUGGACGCCAAAACAUAGGCACGAAACUAAGAGCAUCCAAAGAAAGGGAUGAAAUUCUUAACAUAGAGAAUAUGGGAAUCGAUACACAACCAGUGAAAGAAGAAAAACAAGUAGAAGCUAACUCCCUCCAAUGCCAUAAAAGACAAUGUUAGGACUCGACAAUACUGAAACUUUUGUUCUCAAACCUGAUCUUGUUCCUUUCGUGCCGAAGUCACCAAAAGAAACUGCAAAUAACCAAUAACCAAAGUUUCCGAACAGAUGUGGGGAAAUAUGAGACCAAGGAACCAUAAAAAAUAUCUUCAAUGCAUUGCCAAGGAUCAUAAGGCUUGCCAAAAAUAAUGAAAAUCCAUUUCCAUAAAACAACUGUUUGAGGACAAUGUAGAAGAAGAUGGUUACAAGAUUCCCUAGCAUUAUGACAAAAACCGCAAUAAGAAGCUAAAGCCACACCUCGGCGUUGCAAUAAAUCAUCAGUCAAUAAUCUUCCAUGACAAGCUUUUCAAACUACUAAGCUUUUGCAUGGCUGAAUAGAUUGAUGCCAAACCAUUUUAGCCCAUUUUUUACGUGGAGCGUGAGAUGAGAAAAAAAAGAAAAGCCUCCUUAGCUGAAACAGUACCCGAAGAUGAACCUGUCCAAAAUAACGCAUCAUCCAUGUGUGCAAUUGGCAAUGGAGUCUUCAUAAUCUUCUCCAAAAGAUGAGGAAAAUAAGAAGUAAAGACAAUGGGAAGAGACCAUUUUGCAUCCUGAAUAAAAUCUUUUACCUUUGAAUUCAAGGGAAUUAUGUCAACCUCACCAAUAUUAGAGAGCAAAGUGGUUCCAAGCUAGUUAUCAUACAAAAAAGCAAUCUUACAACCAUCACCAACACUUCAUUGAAGGGAAUUAUAGAAGGAGGGCCAUAAUUGUUUAAGCCCCAACCAAACAGAAGACUUUUUAUAAGACUUUAGCAAAUGAAAGUUGUCUUUAAGAAAUCUGUUACGUAACCAAUCCGAAGCCGGUGAGGAAGAAGAAAUUACAUCCCAACAUCUUUUAAGAAGGAGAGAACGAUUGGAUUCAAAAAGAUCUCGGAUACCCAAACCACCCUUUUCUUUCAACUUACAACAAGAACUCCACGCUAUUAGAGGCAUACCUCGUUUUAACGGAUCACUAGACCAAAAGAAAUUUCUAAUCCACCCUUGAACUUCACGUAGCAAAUUAGUAGGCCAAGCAUAAAUUUGAAAACUAUAAACCAAGAUUCCUUGAAUUACUGAAUUAAUAAAUUGGAGUCUCCCUACUUGUGAAAGCAAAGAACCCUUCCAAGCCAUCAACUUGCAACGAAUCUUGUCAGCAAUGGCUUGAAAAUAGAUCAUUUUCGGAUGACUCUGAAAGAUAGGGACACCUAGAUAAGUAAAAGGCAGAUUUCCUCGACUUACACCAAGAACCUUCUGAAUAAUAGCAUGCCGACUGCUUGCAUAUUUCCCAAGAAAAACUAAAGAUUUUAAUUUAUUUAUGCAUUUCCCAUAAUUUAAGUUGUACUCCUCUACAAAACGCAUUAGGUUACGCAUAGAUCGCUUAGUUCCACGCAUGAAAACCAUAAUAUCAUCUGCAAAAAAAAACAUGAGAUGGUGGAGCAAUACCCAUGGGAACUGAAAAAGUGUCAAUUAGAUCAUCUUCCACCAUCUUUGUAAACCCCUGCUAAAAACCUCCUCAGCUAGACAAAAGAGAAUAAGAGACAAGGGAUCCCCUUGACGAACACCACGAGAACAUGGGAAAAAACCUUCAACUGAACCAUUAAUAAGGACAGAAAGAUGAACUUAAGUUAGAAUAAAAUGAAUCCAAUCCACAAAACCUGUUGAAAAACCAAAAGCAUCCAAAACCCGAAGAAGAAAACCCCAAUCCAAAGUGUCAAACGCCUUUCGAAGGAAACAAAUACAAACCUAUACACGGGUGCAAUGACAAGACACAAUUCAAGACAUUUGAAGCAUCAACUGACAAUCAAAAGGUUUUAAUGGGGAAUCAUAAUUCCGCCAAAGUUCUAGGAAAUGGAACCAUUGAACUUCAGUUUACUUCUGGGAAGAAAUUGACGUUGCUUAAUGUACUACAUGUCCUAGAAAUUAGAAAGAAUCUUGUGUCUACAAAUUUAUUAUGUAAGGAUGGUAUAAAGACUGUUCUGGAGUCCGACAAGUUAAUAAUGUCAAAAAAUGGGAUGUUUAUUGGAAAUGGGUAUUCUUGUGAUGGGAAAAUGGGAUGUUUAUUGGAAAGGAGUAUUCUUAUGAUGGGAUGUUCAAACUAAGUAUUAAUAAUGAAGUGAAUUCUUCUGCUUAUAUUGUUGAAUCUUCCUCUCAUUUAUGACAUAUAUGUUUAGCACAUGUAAAGUUUAGAUCUUUAAAAUACAUGCGCACACUUGGUUUAAUUGCUUGUAAUGAUGAUUAUAAUGAUAAAUGUGAAACAUGUAUUCAAGCAAAAAUGACUAAGAAACCUUUUCCAACUGCUGAAAGAAAUACAAAUUUAUUAGACAUAAUACAUUCUGACAUAUGUGAAUUUAAUGGUGUGGAAAAAGAUAUUUUAUCACAUUUAUAGAUGAUUGUUCUAGGUUCACUUAUGUUUAUUUAUUAUCUAAUAAAGAUGAUUUUUUGAGUGUUUUAAGCGCUAUAAGGCUGAAGUUGAAAACGAAAAGGAAAGGAAAAUUAAAUGCAUUCGUAGUGAUAGAGGUGGUGAAUAUUUUUCACAUGAACUCGAUAUUUUUUCUGAAGAACAUGAUGUUGUGCAUCAAAGAACUGCAUCUUAUACAUCACAAUAAAAUGGUUUGGCAGAAAGAAAAUAGGACACACUGAGAUGAUUAAUUCUAUAAUGAUUAAUGCUAAUAUUCCUAAAUAUUUAUGAGGUGAAGCAUUAUUUACUGUAUGCCAUAUACACAAUAAAAUUACAUCUACGAAGACACAUGUGUCACCAUAUGAAAUUUGGAAAUGAAGAAAACCAAAUUUGAGAGUAUGAGGUUGUGUAGCUUUUUAUGAGGCACUUCAUCCUAAGAGAUCCAAGUUGGGUCCAAGAUUAAUUAAAAGCAUAUUUGUAGGAUAUGUAGAAAAUUCAAAAGCAUAUAGGUUGCUUAAUUUAGACACAAUCACAAUAGUUGAGUCUAGAGAUGUCAAAUUUAUAGAAACUGUAUUCUAUAAUGACUACUCAAUGUCCGGGAAAAAGAAUGAUCAAACACCCUUCUCUACUAGUUCUUCUUAAGGUGAGAAAAUAAAACAGUCUGAAACUGUUAAUGAACCAAGGAAAAGCCAAAGUGUUAGAAAAGAAAAGACUCUAAGAAAAGAAAAGACUCUAGGCCCAGAUUUCAUUUAGAAAAAAAAAAGGUUCUACAAUACCUAUAUUGUUGAAUGUUGAAGAUGAUCCUAAAAGUCUAAGCGAAGCAAUGACUUCGAGAGAUACAGCAUUUUGGAAAGAGACUAUAGAUGAUGAAUUUGAAUUUAAUAUAUAAUCAGACAUGGGUUUUAGUAGACUUGCCUCAAGGAUCAAAAGCAAUAGGUUGUAAGUGUGUGUUUAGAAGAAAAUAUGACACAUACGGGUCUAUUCAAACAUUUAAAGCCAAACUAGUUGCCAAGGGUUUUAAGCAGAAAAAAGAAAUAGACUAUUUCAAUACAUAUGCACUAGUAGCUAGGGUCACAUCAAUUAGAAUAUUCUUUGCAUUGGCGUCUUUAUUUAAUUUGCAUGUGCAUCAAAUGGAUGUGAAAACAUCAUUUUUAAAUGGUGAUUUGGAUGACGAAGUCUACAUGGAACAACCAUAAGGGUUUGUUGUUUUUGGGAAUGAAAAGAAAGUUUGUAAAUUAGCAAAGUCAUUAUAUGGAUUCAAGCAAGCACCAAAACAAUGACAUUAAAAGUUUGAUUUUGUCAUUUUAUCAUAUGUUUAUACGUUGAUGACUUGCUAAUUUUUCGUAUAAAUAUGAAAGGUGUAUCUGAAACUAAAAAGUAUCUAAAUUCAAAAUUCAAGAUAAAGGACUUAAAUGAAGUAGAUACUAUAUAUCUUGGGAAUUAAAGUAAAGAAUCAUAGUAGGGGUUACGCUGUGUUAGUCACAUUAUAUACAAAAAUUGCUUCUUAAGUUUAAGCAUCUACAAAUAAAAGAAGCAAAUACCCCUUAUGACCCUAGUGAGACUUUACUUAAUAAUUCUGGCAAUUCUGUUGCACAGCUUAAGUAUGCUAGUGUAGUCGGAAGUUUAAUGUAUGUUAUGCAUUGUACCAGGCCAGAUAUCGCAUUUACAGUAAGUAAAACUUUCUAGAUACACUAGUCAUCUAGUUACUGCUCAUUGGAAUACAAUGGAAAUUCUAGACUUAUUAGCUUGAGACAUGAAUAUGUCAAGCAAUUAAUAACUCAUGGGGUUAUUAAUAUUAUUUAUGUUAAAUCAAGUAAUAACUUGGCAGAUCCAUUAACGAAAGAACUUUCAAGAGCUUUGGUAGUUAGUACAUCUAGUGGAAUGGGGCUAAAACCCUUUACUAAAAAUUAGCCACCAAUAAUGAUAACCCGACUUUGUCUAGAACAUCACUAGUUUAAGAGUUUAAUAGGUAAUAACAAGUUAUUGAUAAGUGGUUGUAAAAACACUAAUAAUUAAUACAUGGCUCAUUCCAGGAUGAUCAAUGCAAAACUGCUACGUUAGGAGGAUGAGUUUUAUCUUAAUGAAGUUAUUUGUAGUUAUGUCUAUAGUAGCAGGGACAUGGGAAGGAACCUCGCCUAUGUGAACAUAAGAAGUGAUGCCGCUUCUACCAAGAGUUGGGUUUUCUCUUGUAAAUUUUCAUGAAACUAUGAUGAAGCACAAGGCCAGAAUAGUGCUUAAUUAGUUCAUAAAUUUCUUUAAGGAAAUAAGACAUAGUCAUGUAUGUAGUGAUUCCGGUUUUAACAUAAGAAUAGUUGGUUUAAACUUAGGUCACUAUCGCAUUCGUUAUAACUUUGAAUUAGUUACACUAAUUAAAGGUUUAAUUCGAAAGACACAUUUAUUGUAUGCAUAAUUAUAUCGGUAUGCUUGUGAUUAAUUAUAAGGAGAGAAUUCUUAUAUGUCCUUUAUUAUAUAUUUUUAUAAUAGGGAAGGAUUGUUGAAUAUUUUAAUAAUAUAUUAAUAUAUUCGUGCGGAAGAAGUUGGGUAUUUGCCCAACAGUUACUCUUCAUCAGAUUAAAGCAAUGUGGCUUUUCCAACUCUGCUAAAAGACAUGAUCCAUGUCUUGACUAGUGCAUAGUUUACUAACAGACAUAACCUUUGGUAACUGAUGCUUUGCAUUAGACAUGCGUAUUGGGCAUAUUACUGUAAUAUUAAUUCAAUUGUAUCUUAUGGCAAGAAGGCAUACCCAAAACCAAAGGUUGUAUCUCAUGCCGAGAAGGCAUAUCCAAAACCAAAUGAUAUGUCUAACAGGUGCAAUCUCUCCCCUAUAUAUUGGUAAAUUGGUAGAAGAGAAAUUCAUUCAGAAAUUUGUUGUCUACACAAUUUCCUUGCUCUCUCUUCUCUCUCCAUCACAUUCAUACAAUUUCUUUCUAGUUAUUUCUAAGGGAAUAUAAUUCAAUUUUGCUAAUUAAAUAUUCUAUAUUUUGUUGUAUCUUGGUAGUGAUUUGCCAAGAAUUUUUUAGCAAACUUAUUUAAGUGGGGGCAAAUAACACUUUAAGGAAACGAUUCAAGUUGUACCUCAAAAUCAUCUUUCAGUUUAUUCUCCAUAUUUCUACAUCUACUCAACACCCGUCUACCAACAAGUGGACUGCUAACUUCUUGUUUGGCACCUAAGAUUUGAGCAGGAUGACAAUCUCUCUGCCCAGAUAACUCUCUUCUAUCAAAUAACAUAAUCUUCAGCUGUAAAAAAAACGAGACAGAUUUCAAAAAGCAUGUUGGAUGUAUCGCGUUCUAUUGGAAGUUCAAAUAAAAGCGUUAUUUCAAUUUUGUGUGCUGCUAGCUUUUUUUUUACUCAGGCUUCCUACACUUACCAAAAUUAAAUGCUUCUUUUGAGCUAGCCGAAAAUGUGGUUGCAACCACUGGAGUAAUGCAGUGUGUGUGCAAAGGUCUAAAGCUACUGCAUGUGUUUUAAGGAGGAAGAUUCUCUCCCCUUCUAAUCUUUCUCUCCUUCUUUCUCCUUCUAUUUGAACAGUUACGAUUUGACCAGGUCAACAUUUUAUAUUGAUUUUUUUAUAAAGACAAUAAGACAAAAAGCAAUAUGUGAAAGGAAAUGAGAGAAAUGGAUGAAAAUAAGAGGGAAGAGAGUCCUACUCCGUGUUUUAAAGGGCGUAAAGACUUUUGAACUUCUUCAUUUAUUUUUCAUGUUAUGUCGUUGUUUUGUAUUGUUUAUUAAAAACCGCUUGUGUGGUUCUUUCUUUUCUGCACAUACAAGUCAGUCUUCCCCGUAAGGCUUUAGGGGUCUAAUCCCAUUCUAUCUACAAGGAAUCAGUUUGUAAACUCCUUUAAUAUAUCAAAGUAUUGUCAUCAUAGAAGCUUGCUGCUUCCUUUCUCUUUUAUCUUUUCUGUCCAAUUUCAUUGAGAGUGAACAUGAGACGUGUGAUAGAAUUCGUAAACUUAUCACCUACAUAUUUAUUGAGUUAGUUAACUUUCAACACCAACUAGUCCAUCAGUAUCCGCGUGACCAAAAAUUAUAUUAUCCAAGCGGACAACAUCAGCAAGUCACGUCAGAUUUGACAAGAACUUUUUUCACUCUUUCAAUAAGCAGGGAAGUAACUCAACUUAAUUUGUCACUGUUAAAGUACGUAGAGUAAAUAAUGACAAUGUUAUAUGGAUGAACUCUGGGGCUUAAGAAUAUCAAACCUGAGGAGUGCUGUUGAAAUCGCCACAAAGGACAACAGGGGCAUUACCUCAUCUCUCCGAAAGGAUUUUCGCCCUCGAUAUGAGAAGAUGUAUCUGGAAACAAAAUGAUAUAUAGACCUUGUUCAUCAGUGUCAGGGAACAGACAUUUUGCUUUAUGCACUAGGAAAUGAACAUGAAUGUAAAAGAAGGUACCUGGCCUAAUUUUACUUCCCCUCGGGUUGGGUUAUGAAGCACGUGGAUGUUACCGAUCAGUAACUUUCUUGAUUCAGCUUUUUGCAUCUCAACUGUCUCCCCUUGACGGGGUUGUACCACAGGCGACUAGUGUCGAACGAGUAGACGACGAUGAUGAGGAGGAGGACGAGUCUUUGGGAGCGGUAGUUGGUAAGGUUGUUGCGACGAACACAUGGCCCCCACAGAGCCAAGGGGAAGCAUCGCACCGCAUCGUAGAGGAUGAGGUGGUGUUGCGCGGACGUGUGAGUGUCUUACGAUUUAAAGGGAUAUUUGAAUUGGAUUUGCCUAUCUUCUUAACUUCUUGACUUUCGACUUCCAAAUCCCUAUUGCUUAUGAAAACUGUGGCGCCACUGUAAUUAUUUUAUGAGCUGGUUUUAUAGGAAAAUGAAUUUCACACACUUAAUUGGUUAUUUUUAACCUUGUCUUUACUCUUCAUUCUUAAUAAUUCUGAAUUGCAAUGAUGAAUCUUGUGAACGGGAUUCAGUUCUUAGAGCAGCGAUGUUGUGGUUAUUUUCUCUGAGGGGUACAAUAAAGAGAGGAAGAGAGAGAUGAACGGCUUGAGGAAUUCUCAGUGUACUAUUUCUCAUGUCUUGUCUUAAGAAUUUUAUCGAGGCCCAUUGCAUGCACCAUAGUACACGUGCCGUCCUCCGUCAGCCACCGCUCCGGCAAAUACUCGCGGCAGUUAUUCCCCCAUAUCCUCUCCAUCCACCCCAUCGCUUAAGCAUGGUAUGUAACCAACCACCCUCCCCACGACCAUACCGUCCAGCCAGACGUCGUCAUUUAGACAUGCCUUCGAGUCGACUGGUACGGGUGGGUACAGCCGCAUCGCCGUGUGCAAAUAGUGCAUGUCUCGGAGCUCGUCCAAAUCAUAAAUAUCGCCGACACGUUUCCUAUUUACUGUUCAGGUUAAAUGUGUCUUAUUCAUGCAGUUAUGUCUAACAGGGAGCUUAUUUUCUAGUUACAUCUAAUACACCUACUUUAUCGGUGGGCUUAUUUUAAUUUCUAGUUACAUCUAAUACACCUAAUCACAUCAACUCCCUUAAGUCAAGGGAAGAUAGCUGGAAGAGAAAAAAGAGAAACCAGACAAAGGUUAGGUUACACACUUUACACUUUACACACUUUACACUUUUACUAUAAAACACCUCCUUUGAGUUCAUGAGCAAAUGCCCCAUUUCUCUCACACAGAAAGCCAGAAUGCUUCCUUCAGCAAUAUCCAUCCUCCUACUCUUCCUUACAUUCCUUUGGUAUCUCAUCCACAUCCUGACCACUGCCUUCCAGAGGCCAAAACACCGAAAGCAGCUGCCAGGGCCUUGGGCACUACCAAUAAUUGGUAACUUUCAUAUGCUAGGCAACCACCCACACCACAGCCUCCAACACUUGGCCAAAAAAUAUGGCCCCAUAAUGUCCAUUCGCCUCGGCUUGGUACCCACCAUAGUGGUCUCAUCUCCUAAAGCUGCAGAGCUGUUCCUUAAAACCCAUGACACCGUCUUUUGUAGCCGCCCCAAACUCCAAGCCGCUGAGUACAUAUCGUAUGGUAUAAGGGGUAUUGCCUUUACUGAAUAUGGUCCAUACUGGCGCCAUAUUAGGAAGCUUUGCACGAUGCAGCUUCUUUGUCCGUCAAAAAUUGAGGAUUUUGCUCCGUUAAGAAGGGAGGAGGUGGGGUUGUUGGUGCAGUCGCUAAAGAAAGCCGCGGAGGCAGGUGAGGUGGUGAAUCUUAGUGAAAAGGUCGGUGAGCUUGUUGAGGACAUAACAUAUAGGAUGGUAUUGGGGAGUAAAAGUGAUGAUAUGUUUGAUAUCAAGACAAUUAUUAGGGAUGUCAUGUCCGUGCUAGCUUUAUUCAAUAUUGGCGAUUAUGUGCCUUUCCUCAGGCCACUGGAUAUUCAGGUACGCAACAUGCUAUGCAUAGUCGUCUCUGACGUAGUUUAUGCAACAUUACAUUAUUUGAUAAUCAUUUAAUUUUGUGUUUUUAGUUUUCCACUUUUUUGCUCGAUAUAUUUUAUGUAUACUCUUCCCAUAAAUCCCUCCCACCACCAUUUUCCCCACAUUAUUUUUUCCCCUUCUCUAUCUUUAAAAAAAAAAAAAAACCCUAAAACCCCAAUUUAUAUGAUUAUCAAAUAGGUCUUAAGAUUACUUAUCAUGCAUAUAUUAACCUUUUCUUCUUCUUAGGGAUUGACCAAACGCAAUAAGAGAAUUAGCAAGAUAGUCGACCAACUUUUUGAAAAGAUAAUAUGGGAACAUGAACAAGUUUCUAAGAGUGAGCAAGUACAAGGCCAUCAUCAUCACAAGGACUUUGUUGACGUUGUGCUUUCAUUAAUACACCAGCCAUUAAAUCCCAACGAUGAGCAAGGCUACAGGAUUGAACGAACAGAUGUGAAAGCCAUCUUACUCGACAUGAUUACGGGUUCCUUUGACACUUCAGCUACCGCAAUUGUUUGGAACCUUGCCGAACUGUUGAGGCACCCGAGGGUGUUGAAACAUCUCCAAGAAGAGCUCCAACGUGUGAUCGGAACAGACCGAAUGGUGGAAGAGAGCGAUCUGCGAAUGUUAAGUUACUUAAAUGCGGUGAUCAAGGAGAGCUUUAGACUACACCCAAUUGCACCAUUUUUAGUUCCUCGGGAAUCCAUGCAGGACGUUACGGUCGACGGAUAUUACAUACCUAAGAAAUCGAAAAUUCUAAUAAACACUUGGGCUAUUGGAAGAGAUCCUAACGUUUGGUCGGAUAAUGUGGGAGAAUUUUAUCCUGAAAGGUUUAUAAAUAGCAAUGUUGAUCUUCGGGGGCAUGACUUCCAGCUUCUACCCUUUGGGUCUGGCAGAAGAGGUUGCCCUGGUAUGCAAUUAGGGUUAACCACAGUUCGGCUGGCUCUGGCAAACAUUGUCCACUGCUUUAACUGGGACCUUCCAAGUGGCCUCCUACCUCAAGACUUGGACAUGACUGAGACGUUCGGCUCGGUACCGACAAAGCCCAACCACUGCUCGCCAUGCCGACCUACCGCCUGGAGACUAAAUAGACGUUUAUCCGUUUUCUAUCGAUUUAUUAAAUGCUGUAAGAAAUUAUAUCAGGUCGGGUGGCUU